AAAAAAAAAAAAAAAAAAAAAAAAAAAAAAAAAAAAAACUGAGGGACAGUUUUAUCGAUAUUAUUAUUUGGAACUAACUUGCAGGUGGGAAAGCAUUUCUCAUGUAAAAUCAACAAAAAAAAUAGCAGUUGUUAGAGGGUUAUGCCUAGCCGACGUUAAUUCAAUUUUGUUUGCUUACUCUUUUCUUCCCACGAAAAAAAGAAAAAAAAAACUUUGUUUGCUUACAUCUGCUGGCCUUAUUGCUGUUUUUUUAUUAGAGCUAAUUGCAUAUAAGUCCCUGUAAAUAUAGUAAAUCAUAGAUAUGUUGUCAUGCCCCAGAUUAUCGCGUUUCCCCGAGCGUGCCAACAGACCUGCCGUAUACAAAAAAAAUUUUUCUGUAUACGAAGCGAUAGCUGUACCUGUGUAAGGACUGAGAUUUUUACGGUGCAACUAAACUCUCUGUUGAUGAUGUUUAUGUGUGUAACUUAAUUACAUAAGCACUCAUCAAGUUUCAGGAGAAAAUGAGCUAGAACGGAGAAGUUACGCGAUUAUUAGUUUUCACUUAAAGUGAAUAGUAACCCGAUUUUCCGGAGAAGCUACAGAGUAGAGUUGGCUUUCGGCAUGUAUCGGACUCUGUUCAUAGUGAUCCAGUAGCUCGUUUCGAUCGGUUCAGCUAUUCUGGAACCAAUGGCACUGACGGAUUUCAGAUCCGAUGACGGUUUUCGAGAAAAAGGAGUUUUAACAAAAAGAGAAUUUCCGCUCCUUGCUAUUCGUGCAUUUUAAAACUCCUCGUGCUUUGUACAAGUGAUCUGGAGAUGGGUGAGAGAUGUUUCAAGUACCUACUGGUGGUAGGGAAUUCAAAUACGAGUUUGAAUUAAAGGAUUUCGGGUUUCCACCAAGGCCUAUGUGUGAUAUAUGGAUUAGUUGGAGAGAGGUCGGAUUUUGUUACAAAUCAGCAAGUAAAUCGGAUGAAACGAAAUCGUAGCUUCGAUGCCCUCGUCAUGCUGAACGCGAUGGCUCUGUCGGAUCGAAAAUCCGACGGACGGAUUUUCGGGAAACGCGAAAUGUUCGCUGAGGGGUCGAAUUGGCAAAAUUGGAAACUUCGCAAAAGUCAUUGUAUUUUAUGUGCCGAAUCGCGUGAGAUCGGACAUAGAGGUGCGUAUGUGUAAAAUACGCGCGCUGUGAGGGACUUGACUGAGAAUAUUACCCCUGGGAGGACUAUUUUGCAAAAUGCACAUAUGUGUAUAGUGGUUGCACUAGGGUUUCAUGAGGAAACCCUAGCUUUUGGCCUCCCUCUUCCUCAACCGAACCCCAGCCGCCUUAGCUCUCCCCUGCCCACCUCGUGCGCGUGCCCCGACCGCCGGCAGGUGCUCCGACCGCCGGAAAACCCUUCCUCCAUCACUUCUUUACCUAUUCUCCACCCUCCUCGGCCAUGCAACCCAGAGGAACUUCAAACACCUUUGGAAGCCUUCCCUUGGCCGAGAUCCACCCUCCGGCGCCGUCACCGGCCGUUCCCACCGCCUGCGCACGCCGCCGACGCCGCCCAAGCAUGCUGCGCCUACCCCUCAGUCAGCCCAGAACACACUCGGUGGGCUCGAGGCCGAGCAUCGCCGCCACUCCAAUCCGCCCAGCGACGUCAUCCUCCGGCUCCGGCGACAUCCCGCUGCCGCCGCCCGCCGCCCCCCGCCGUCCCGGAACGCCGACGAGCACCCUAGCUCCUUGCAGCCAACCGCAGAUCACCACAGAUCGAGCCUGGGUGAUCUCGGCAUCCACGUGCGCCCGCCGCUCCUCGCCGCAGUGCGGCCCUACAGACAUCGCUCGCGCGACCCGGCGCGCAGCGUCCCUGCCAUCCCCCGCGCCGCCGGCCGCCGCUGGAACCUUCUGUGGCCGCCCAGACCCGUGCGGGCCGGUCGGACCGCUCGGCUUCCAAGCGCCGCCGCCGCCCACCGGCCUCGGCCUCCGGCCCGGAUCGUCGCCGCCCCGACUCCUCCGGCCACCGCCUGGCGACGCGCCGGGAACUCGACGUACUGAGAGGAGUGGGCGGAGUCGAUCUCCUCCGCCGCGCCACCGGUUGCAGCCCGCCGCCGGCCAGCACCCUCCCCGGACCUCUCGGACCGGCUGCUCCCAUCCCUGGCCGGAGUGCCCGCCUCCCGGCCGCCGGCGACCAAUCCUAGCUCCCACUGCUCCGGUGUGCUGUUUCUGAGUUCCAGCAUUGUUGUUUAAGCUUUCCGGCCACGUUUCCGGUGAUCCGAGGACUCCCCGACACCCUGGGAAGUGAGCACGAUGAUCUACAACUCGUGCUAAACAUCGUGCUCACCUCCGACAGCGGCAAAGAUGCCCUGGUUAGUGAGUUAGUCGCGAUCUUCGUGCUGUGCGAGCAGUUUAACAGAUCUUCACAUCGCUCGUACGCGCACCGCAGUGGCCGGCAGUGCUCCGAAAGGUGAGCACGACCUCCGUCAUGCUGAAACCUAUCAGCGAGCGCGAUGAUUCGCUUAAUCGACUUCUGGUUUACGUGCACGGUCCAGAAAAGCCUAGAAAUCACAUGAAAUAAUGCGAUUUCAUGUAUCGGUGUGGGCUUUUAGGACUUUUGCUUUGAUGUAGCUGCUGUUGGCAGCAUGUUUGGGCUGAGGAUAACCUCUGAACUAAUCGUCCAAGGCCCCAAGCCCUCGCGGAAAUCGAAAAGUGAUUUUCGGAGUGUUUUUCGGCGAAGUCAGCCGAUAGAACGCGUUUUCGAUUCGGAAUUCUUCCGACGGUACUUGGGGAUGAUUUAUUGUGUCGCUGAGCCUAGUUGGCUGGUCACCCGCAUCGUUUUGUGGGUUCGAAAACGACAGGUGAGCGACAGUAAAGUUCCGGUACGGUUUUCGAAACUUCCGGCAUGUUCGGUAAUCGGUUUUGGGAAACCGGUUCUCGUGGUUUUGGUGAGUGGGGAUUGUGUGUUAGCGAGACAUGUUAGUGGGUUAGAUUCUAACCCGUUGGACCUUUCGUAGGUUUGAUUGUUUCGUCUUCACAGUCGAGAGAUCUUCGUCAGACACGUACAGGUGGGUACUUCGAUCCGAUGUCGGUACAGUGGUGCACGUUCGGUGAUGGUUUCUUACCCUUGCCCUCUUACUAUUAUCUGUGUGCGUAUACAUAUUGAGCCUUUCACCCAUAUUAUUUCCAUAUUUACUCUACUCGGUUGUUUCCAUGUUUAGUAUCUUGUGUAGGAGUAGAGUAGAUUUCAUCAGCAUAUGAUAUCUGUGACAUGAUUGGUCGAGUUCAUAUCCUAUAUCUGUGACAUGAUUGGUCGAGUUCAUAUCCUAUACUUGUGACAUGAUUGGUCGAGUUUCAUAUCCUAUACUUGUGACGUGAUUGGUCGAGUUUCAUAUCCUAUACUUGUGACAUGAUUGGUCGAGUUUCAUAUCCUAUACUUAUGACCUAUUCGGUCAAGUUGCUACAGUUCUAUCUUGACAUACGUAGCCGACUAGUUGCUGAUGGCUUAUACGGUCGGUGUGCCCUGAGGGGCUGGAUUGUCGGCUAGUUGCCGAUGGAAGAUCUUUGAGCAUACUACAUUGAUCGCCACUACAGGUACGCAUUUCACGAACACCAGCGGUCUGAUCCACCGCAAGAGGGUGUUCUUUUCCGGAAAAGUGGUUGGAUUGCCAACCCGUGAGCCCAGGGGCUUUAUUGCGAGGGUAUAUGCUUCUGACCCAGGGGCUUCAUUGCGAGGGUCAGGUACUGUGCUUCUGACCCAGGGGCUUCAUUGCGAGGGUCAGGUACAGGUUGAGCAGUGUGGCAUGGGCCUGAGGUCUUCGGACCAAUAGGGCAGCGAGAUUGGGUACUUUUGAGGUUAUCGUCAGUUGACGCAUGCAUACAGUAGCUGUAGUGUUUAUUUCCAGUACAUCCUUAUCUGUUUAUUGUAGCUACUGUUUUAUUUACCUGCAUCUAUACUUGUCAGCUCCUUACUUAUCAGCAUCUUUACUUACCAGCACUUAUGUCUAUCUAGUUCUCCGUGUUGUUGUAUAGCUCUCUUCCUGAUCCGGUGAGUACUCCUCGCCUUCUUCGGCUUGCGGUACCCACUGGGAGGGGAGACAUGUUUACAUGUUCUCACCUCCCCCACCAUUUUUCAGGUAUCGCGGGCGAUGAGUAGUGGGACGAGACGUGAGGUACGUGUGUAGCGGUCGAUAGAGCUUCCGACCCAGGUUAUUUCGAUUUAGUUAUUAUCCUUGGUAUUUCUGUUGAUAUAUAGUUUAGUUGGUUUAUGUGGUUCAGUAUUUAUUUACAUUUGAAAAUGUGGAUUUCUGGAUUUUGUAAAAUAAAAGGUUUUCUACCCCUCGUGGUAGCGUUUUUAAAAGAUAAAAGUUUCCGUGUAGGGAACAGUUUUCAAAAGGUUUUCUGUAGAUUUUGUAUCUUAGUAUUUCAAAACCUGUUUCUGAGUUGGAAACAUUUAACUGAUAGAUAUGGAUUUAUGUUUAAAUAUUGAAUAUAUAAAUGUGAACCUGUGAUGUGAAUGGUGUAUGGAUAUAUAUAAUUGUUGGUUAUUUGUAUAUUCAUUUGGUUGUGGUUGUACCUGGGUUGCUUCUUGUACUUGUGCGACGUUGUGCAAAUACAGGGGAGACUCUGUCCGUGUGCACAGUGAAUUUCCUGUAUUUGUGGCGGAUCUGGCAUACUCUGGGGUCAGGUUUUCAAAAAAAAAAAAAAAAAAAUUUAGACGCUUUUCCACUAUCUUUUAAACUGAAAGGGACCUCGGGGCGUGACAACCUGUAAACGAAAACAAGCUACAACCACAAGGUAAGAGCUGCUAGACUGAAAAUAGCAUAUAUAUAAAACCUCGAGGGGUUCCAGUACAUACAAAAUGUCUAUUACACCACUCGCUUGAGCGAGUAUCGAGACAACAACCAUAUGUAUAUAAAUACCCCAAAAUUACCUGUGAGAGGUACUCCUCUAGCACUACAACAAGACUGGAAAAAAUCUAGCUCGCAACUCCCUUUCCACGAUCAGAAUCGGCGACAGCAGCAGCCGCAGAAGAAGGCUCUUCAAAAAGGGGUCAACAACAGGGUGUGAGAACUACUGUAAAAAGGAGUAGUCCUCAGUGGGUACCGCUACAGAUCUCAACGGCUCACCCACUAAGUCUACAGAAAGUAUGUAUAAGGAUAGUAAAGAAUGCUGGUAAAACUCUACAGCUAUAUACCACUAUACUAUCGCUAACCGACACUAGCUAUCUGUAGAUAUAAGAAUGCCAUCUUUGACCCAAUCUCACUAGGGACUGUGAACGCACCCGUCCCGCCUAUCGAAGCUACACCAACCACCACCACGCUGGGUUGUCGGUGGAGAGCAAAUCCAACCCGGACAUUAGACAUCAACGCAAACACACAAAGCCAGACUCUGGAGUGGCACCCGUGAGCGCUACCCAAACAAGUAUGUAAGCAUGUCUUUGCCGAGCUCAAUCAAGCUCUCACAGGCUAUAAUCAACACAACUAAGUCUAACUGGUCUAACAACCAAAUCUCACGUGUUCUUGGCACAAUCUGAUACAAAAUACAAAAAUCUGGGUCCACCGUCAACCACGACGGCACCCGACGGUCCGAAACAAUUUAUACACUACUGUAAAAUAAUUUCGGCAUCCCAGCACGAGCAUAAACUCAUCCUACACUAAUCUGGGUAUCCACCGCAUACAAACAGCGACGAUACAGACGAACCACAGCUCCUAAAGUUAAAUAUGGUAAUUUUCAGAAAUAACAGUGUAGAAUCUAUAUAUUUUCUCCUAAGUCAAUUUCAAGUCUAAUAUGUAAAAUUAUAAUUCUAGCUUAACUCCAAAUUCAGAUUUUAUCUCUAAUCCAUGAAUUUGAGUACUAGCAAGGAAAUAAAAUCAAUGCAACAUGUCGACGAUGUUAAAACUUAGGAGGUAUUCCGACGAUUUCGGUAAACUUCAACCCACCUCGAAAAGCUCGUCCAACCACGACGAGAAGUCGAAAGAAGAAGAAAUCACGCGCUCGUCCAGCCUCCAACGGAGCAACCGCGAUGCCCACGUGCUCAAACGACCCUUCGGUGCAACGGCGAUAAACUCCCGAGCUCGAGUCGUGACCUCCACCUCGAACACGAUCAAGAAAUAGAGAGAGAGAGAGAGCAGCAAUCUAAAAACCUCCUCUGUCUCUCUACACAUAUAUAAAGAGGUGGGGAUAAGGUUGAUAUUAACGUACUUCAAAUGACCAAAAAGUCCUUCACCAACUCAAAAUUACAGCUAGAGUACCGGUACCCAAUUUGGUUACCGGUACUCGGUCUCUCAGCCCGUAAGCUCGCACACAUGGUAUCGGUAUCAACCCGAUGCCGUACCGAUACUCAACACUGAAAUCCUGCACUUUGCGGAUUUCAGCAUCAGAACUCUACUCUCGUCUCGCGUCGAGUCCGUUUUGCGUCUAUUUCGGGCCAAAACGACUCCGACUUGUCCCGACGCUCUCCAGAUGUGUUGACAAGCCCCGGAUGAUACUCACAGGCAACCAAACACCAGGGAUACUACAUAUAUUCUUACAAAGUUCAAUUUUUAUAUGUUGGUUCUUCAAAAGUCCUGAUGUUUUCAAAUAUAUUCCUACCGUUAGAAUCCGUUAGAAAAAUUUAGUUAACAAUAGGUUAAAUACUUAAUCCUGGUUAGUCAAUGAGAUGAAUUGACCUUUUAUUUCUUUUUAAUUAACAGUUGGGACUUUUGAAGGGACAUAUUUGUGAUGACAAAAAAAGUAUUUUAAGUAUAAAAUAAACGGUGUUUUAACGAUAACAAAUAAGAGGGAUAUAUUUAAAAUAUUAAGACUUUUGUAGGGACAACAUAUAAAAGAUGAACUUUAUAGAGGUAUAUUUAUAAUUCAGCAUAUUUGUAGGGACCUGUAUGAAAUUAACUCUUUUUAUUAUUGUAAACAUUAAUUUUGUACAAUAUAACAACUGGUGCCGAUUUUUUUAUUAUCUUGAUUAUUUUGUUCGUAAAAUACUUUGAUCAAGUAAUAUAUGUGUUUUCGUCAAGCCAAGUUUUUUGGACAGCUCAUCGAGUUAACAGUUGAUCUAGUCAAAAAUACAUUCGAUUCACGAAUUGGCUUGUUGGAUGACCCUCGAUAGUAUCAAGAUCAAGCGAUUCUAUUGAGAAGGGUUCUCUCUCAAUGCGUAAAAAUUUUUGUAGAUGAGGCGAGAAUUGAUUCGACUGAAAUUAGAGCAGAAAUAAUUGCUUUUCAUUAACUAGAGCUUUGCAUAUUACAAAGAAAAGAACGCUGGGUUUCCAAUUGUAGGAAAGACUUGGCGAAAAACUUAAUUACAAGAAGACUAAAGGCUAAAAACUUAGAUUUAAAGCUACUCCUAAAAAACCUAUAAAUGCUAAAAAUAAAAAUAAAAAAUAUUAAAUCAUUGACCGUCCUAGCACAAGUGGCUAAGGAUUUGGUGGUUAGUACCUAAAGUCUCGAGUUUGAAUCCUAAUUGAUUUAUAUUUUUAGGUAAAGUUUACUUUUAAAGGCCAAUUUGCAUAAAAAAUUCAUAAAUUUUGAGCUUUUACAAAACUGGGCCGCCUUUUUUGAUUUUGCAAAUUCAAUCCGAAUUUUCAGCAAACUGACCAAAAUACCCUUAUUACUUUUUCUCUCUCCUCUUUCUCUCUCCUCUUCUUUUCUCUUGUUCAUUUUUUUUUCUCUCGCCGAAGAAAGCAGCGGAGGCGGAGGCAAAGGCGGAGGCGGAAACGGCCCGCCUCGCCUCUCAUCCUCAUGGUCUCGCCCUCACCCUUGCCCUCGCCCGCGCACCCCCCACCUUCCUCGCCUCCGACUCCGCNUUUUUUUUUUUUUUUUUUCUCUCCGACUCUCCUCCGCCGUCUCCGACGACAACGUCUCUUUCGCCCUUCCCCGCCCUUCUCGUCCUCUCCCUCUCCCUCUCCCUUCUCCUCUGCCGCCUCCGACAACGGCGCAUCUUCGCCGAUGCCGACACCGACACCAUGGAGGUCGCUGCGGCGCUGCAACCUCGGAGCGCGGGGUCCUUAGCGGCGUCGCCGCCGGCGCCGUUGUCACGCCCCGGGGCCGAUUUUAAAAGCCUUUUAAAAACAGAGUUGCGGAAAACGUGCCAUUUUUUUUUUUUUCUCAACCUGGCCCACGCGACGUACAGACCCGCCACAAAUACANAGCCAACUUCUCACCGCGGCUUUUCCGGAAAAUCGAGUUACUAUUCACUUUAAGUGAAACUUGGAAAUCGCGUAGAAUUUCCGUUUUAACUCGUUUUCGCCCGAAACUUGACGAGUGCUUUUGUAAUUAAAUUACACACAAAAACAUCGUCAACUGAGAGUUUAGCUACACUGCAAAAAUCUCAGUCCUUACAGCCGUGCCCGUUGGCAAAGAGGGGUGACAAAAAAAAUUUAUAGAAGAAGCAAGAAAAAAAAAUAAAGAUAAAAAAUUAUAGAAAAAAAAGAUGAAGAUGAAAUUGCACCGUUAAAAAAACGUUGCACUAUUAUGGAUAUAAGUUGCACUAUUUAAAAUGUCAACUGCAGCUUUAAGAUGAAAAUUACACUCUUUAAACAAAAAUUGCACUCUUUGGGAGAUAUUUACAAUGUUUCUUCUCUUAUUGUACUCUUUCAGAUGUAAACUGCAUCCAUUAAAAUAAAAGUUACACUCUUCAAACGAAAAUUGCACUCUUUGAGAGAUAUUUAUACUGUUUUUUCUCUUCUUGUACUUUUUGAGAUGUAAACUGCAUCCCUUUAAAAGAUAUUUAGACUGUUUUUUCUCUUGUUGCACUAUUUCUCCUCUUGUUGAACUAUUCCUUCUCUUAUUAUACUGUUUCUUCUCUUAAAGAGUGUAGUUUAAGAUAAGAAACAGUGUAACAAGAGAAGAAACAGUACAACAAGAGGAGAAACAAUAUAAAUAUCUCAUAAAAAAGGGGUGCAUUUUACAUCUCAAAGAAUGCAACAAAACGAGAAACAGCGUAAAUAUCUCUCAAAAAGUAUAAUUUUCGUUUAAAGAGUGUAACUUUCAUCUUAAUGGAUGCAGUUUAUAUCUGAAAGACUGCAAUAAGAGGAGAAACAAUGUAAAUAUCUCCCAAAGAGUGUAAUUUUUAUUUAAAGAGUGUAAUUUUCAUCUUAAAACUGUAGUUUACAUCUUAAGUAGUACAAUUUAUAUCCAUAAUUGUGCAACAUUUUUUUAAAACAGUACAAUUUUAUUUUAAAGAUGCAAUUUCAUCUUCAUCUUUAUUUUUCUAUUAUUUUUUAUCUUUAUUUUUUUCUUGCUUCUUCUAUAAUUUUUUUUUGUCAUCCCUCUCUGCCAACAGCCACGGCGCCGUCGACGACGUCGUUAAGGACUCCCUGCUCCAAGGCUGCAGCGCUAUAGCGACUUCCACGGUGUCAGCAUCGGGGAAGAUGCGUCGUCGUCGAAUGCGGCAGAGAGGAGGGAGAGGUAGAGGAUGAGAAGGGCGGGGAAGGGCGAGAGAGGCGUCGUCGUCGGAGACGGUGGAGGAGAGUCGGAGAGGAAAAAAAAAAAAAGAGUCGCGGGAGAGAGAAAAAAUAAUAAAGGUAUUUUGGUCAGUUUGCUGAAAAUCCGGUCCGAAUCUGCAAAAUCGAGAAAAGUGACCCACUUUUGCAAAAGCGCAAAACUAGUGGAUUUUUUGUGCAAAUUGGCCACUUUUAAAUUAAAUAAACAUCACAAUUUCUAACUGUUGCGUCCAAAAAUCUAUUUAUCUUCGAGUAUUCUUUUCCUUGAGUAUUCUUUUCAGGCUCUUUCUAUUUGGCCACGUGAGCCAAGCACAUGAUUCAUAUUUUCAACUGUUGCGUCCAAAAAUCUAUUAUCUUUGAGCAUCCUUUUCAGGCUCUUUCUAUUUGGCCACGAGAGCCAAACAUAUGAACCGGGCCGGCUACCAGCUGGCACCUCUUUCUUUUGCGCCAAUAGUAUGAAAUCUUGUUCAAAAUGAUCUGACACAUUUUUUGAAAUUUAAAUUUAUCAUUUAUCUUUUAGUUAAUAUAUUUUUUAAAAUUCACAUAACUAUAAAUUGAUCAAAGCAAGCAAAUUAGUUUGAAUUUUUGUAUCUGAAAAACCAUCAAAUCACUUAAUCAACAAAUUGAAAGGUUGUGUGUACUAAAAUCAAAAUUUUGAAAAAAAUAGAUAGUCUCGUCAAAAUAAUCUACAAUUCAAGUUAAAUUACACAUUAUUAUUUUAAAUAAUAAUAAUAAUAAUAAUAAUAAUAACAAUAAAAAAAUAUCAAAUUAGACUUUAGUCUAUCGAUUUUUUGAUUUUGACUCAACAAAAGCUAGCAAUCCACCUCGCAUCGACUCGUCAGUAAACAAGCUGAAUAACCGACCGUUUUUAGAGCAAGUGGCAAAACGCUUGAUGGUUCGUACCUGAGGUCCCAAAUUCAAAUCCUAAUUGAUUCACAUUUUCCAUCGGAUAGCAUGUAAUCUAUCUCUAAAAAAAAUAAAAUAAUAAACAAGCUGAAUAUGAGCUAAAUUUUUUAACUAAAUAUUUUAACGAACCAGCAUGUGUUUAGGUCAUUUAAUAAACCAAUAAAAAUGAGACGGCCACAACUGGCUUGUGUUCGGCUCGUUGACGACUGAAGACGCGCUUGACCUACCAUCGUCAGACUGUCAUGCUCGGAAGACGUAUUUGCCGGACGCCCUGGCCAUGGAUUACUAAAUCAAAGUCUUCAAAUAAGAUUUCGUGUGUGACUGUCAGACUUUGGUCCGUAUCACUCUUCCUCUACAAUUCAAAGAGUCCAACUCCCAUACGAAAGGUAAGAAAAGCUUUUUUUUUUUUUUUUUUUUUGGUAUGUCAGGUUGUGGUGUGCAAUAGACUACUAAUUGUAUUUAGGAAUAAAUUUCAGAUAUUAUUUCUAUAGUUUUAUACUUUUUUACUUUAGUACUUUGUGGUUUAAAGUGCAUCAAGUUAGUGUCAUGUGGUUGCAUUUUUAUUUUCUCACUAGUUUCUCCGUUAAUAUUUCGUUAAAUUAUAUAAAAAAAUUUAAGGUACUCCACCUAGAUUUAUCGAAUAUUCACUUUAGUACACUUUAGUCUUUACUUUGUCACUCAUUUAAUAAAAAAAAUUAGUGGAAUUAAUCGAUAAUAAAAAGAUAAAAAUGAAACCACAGGGUACGAAAUUGAUACACUUUAAACCACAUGGUAUUGAAAUGAGAAAGUGUGAAACCACAAGAAUGGUAUUUGAAGUUUUUCCUUGUAUUUAAAAUAAUUGGCUAAAAGCUUGAUGAUUGAUAUAUGAGAUCUUAAGUUCGAGCUCUACUUAUUUUAUAUGUAUUAUUUUUUUUAAAAAAUGAACAGAGCUGAUAACUCUCAAAAAAUAUUUCGUUUAGAUUAAAUUACCAAAUCAAGUUGAUGAAUUUUGAUUGGUUCAGUUCAUUUUACACAUAAUUCACUUUGGUUUGAUAUAAUAAGUUGUAAAUUGAAAAAAAAAAAAACCAGAACUAACAAUUUUUUUUAAUAAUUUAAUGACAUUAAUCUUAGAUUACAAUUAAAUAAUUGGAGAGUUUGAUUAUACCUUUUUUUAGUGGUUUAACAAAUUUAACUUCAAAAAAUUUAAAAUCGAAUAAAUCAAACGGAACUGAUCGUAUUGUUCCGAUUCAAUUUAUGUUUCUAAUUUGAUUCGGUUCGGUUUUGAAAGCAAUCUCCCAAAAGCCGAACCGAACCAACCGAAGCUCAGCCUUAUUCUUAGGGUGUUUUCUGAAUAGGAUGCUUCAUACCUUAGUAAAUACAUAUUUUCUCAAAAUUUCUUUUCAUGAUGAUAAUUUUUUUUUUAAUUUGUUAAACUAUUUUUAAUUGAUAUUUUGAUAUUAAUUAAUUAGAUAAAAUAUUAUUAAUUUAAAAUUAUAAUUACUUUUGUUUUCAUUAUUCUAAUCUAUCAUCCAAGCAUUGUUUAUCUUGUUUCCUGAAACAACUUAAUUUUCAUCCAACCAAAAAUUUACUAUAGUUCUUGCGGAUCUGAACUUGUACCUAUUUCUGAAAUAAGCAAUUUUGCCUGAGUGCGCAUCAUGUAUAUGAAUUUUUAUAAAUCCUAAAACACAAAGCAUCUUGUAUAUGAAUUUUUAUAAAUCCUAAAAUACAAAGACCGUAAGAUUUACAACCGUAUAUAUAUAUAUAUACAGUAAGAUUUAAUUACAACUUUAUACAGAUAUAUAAUUAUUCUUUUUAACAAUAAUGCUAUCCUUACACCAUCGGACUAAAUAUACAUCUUAUUCUGCCGUAUGAAGUCCAAACAAAGUUAGUUAAUUUACGAAUUAUUCACGAAUUAUUGAAAAUUUAAAUUAAAACAGCCCAUAUGUAAUUUAUUUCCAAAAAUCAGAAUAAAAUGCGGAUUUUUAGGUUAGAUUUAUUAUUCACGAAUAAUUCGCAUAUGCUGAAUUAUUCGGCCCAAAAAACGCGCAAAACUAUUGGAUAAGUUUUUUUUUCCCAAAUUAUUCGCGAAUUAUUGUUGAUUAUUCAUAAAUUAUUGAAAAACUUCAUGAACUUUUGGAAUAUGUGUAUCAUGAAAAAGAUGAAGAUGGAGGCGAUAAUAAAAUUUACUAUUGUAUUUUUUACUUAAUCUACUUUAUUUUAUAGCUCUCUAUUUUUAUAUUCUUAAAAAUUUAUAACUAUAUAUGCUAGUAGUAUAAAUAUAACGAAAAAAACUUAGUUUAAUAGCCGAAUUUUUUAUCGCGAAUUUUUAAUUGAUAAAUGUAUAAUUUUCGUAUAAAUCGCGUAUUCGAAUAAUUGGCGAACCCAUUUUUUUAACUAUAUUUCUGAAUGAAUUUAAAAAUUAAAAUAUAAAUUUUAUUUGAAUUAUAUUUGUACUGAGUUUUUGUCGAAUCCGAAUUAAUUAAUUACGAGUCCAAACUUGACUAGCCAAGUUUUGGACACCAGCGGAAAGCUUUUCUCUUUCAAACCCAAAAAAAAUUUAGUGGGAACACUAAGGGUGGGAACUAGUGUUCCCACCCCAGGGUGGAACAAGCUGGGAUAACCCAGCUUGUUCCACCCGUGAAGAGAGAGAGUUUAGUGGGAACACUAAGGGUGGGAAUUAGUGUUCCCAUCCUAGAGUGGAAAAAGCUGGGAUGACCUAGCUUGUUUCACCCUUGAAGAGAGAGAGAGAGAGAGAAAGAGAGAAUUUUUAAUUUUUUUUAAAAUUUAAAUUUCGUAAGUUAAAAAAUUAAAAUUUAUAAUUUUUAAAAUUACAAAAUUAAAAAUUAAAUUUUAAAUUGUUUAAUUUUAAAUUUUAAAAUUUGAUAUUUUAAAUUUUUUAUAUUUAGAAUUUGAUAUUUUAUAUUUUUAAAUUAAAAUUUCAUCUUAAAUUUAAAGUUUAAAAUUUAAAAUUUUAAUUUUUAAAAUUGUAAAUUCGAGAUUUUAAAAUUUUAAAAUUUAAAAGUUUAUAUUUAAAAUUUUAAAAUUUAAAAGUUUAUAUUUUAAAGGGAAAACUUCAAAACCCCCCCUGUGGUUUCGUGCAUUCUCACUUUGCUACCCUGUGGUUUAAAACGUAUCAAUUUGCCCCCCUGUGGUUUCGUUUUUAUCUUUUUGUUAUCAAUUUUAUUAUUAUUUUUUUUUAAAAUCAGUGACAAAGUUAAAAUUAAAGGAUACUAAAGUGACUAUUCGAUAAAUAUAGAUGGUUAUCUGAAGUUUUUUGUAUAUAAUUUAACGAAAUAUUAACGAAAAGCUUCCGAAAAGAUAAAAUGAAACCACAGGGGGUAAAUUGAUACGUUUUAAACCACAGGUAGCAAAGUGAGAAUGCACGAAACACAGGGGGGUUUUUGAAGUUUUUCCUAUUUUAAAUUUAAAAUAUAAAUAUAAAAAUAUAAAAUUUAAUUUUUAAUAUAAAGAAAAGGAUAAUAUUAUUUUUUUUUAUUUAAAUAUCGACACUUAAAUUUUUAUUCCAUCUUAUCUAUUCAAACGCUAUUUUUUUUAUUCUAAAAAAUAACCUAAUUUUUAUCCAAAUGCAAAAUUAAUUUAAUUUCUGUUUAUAUCUCAAUUUAUAUAUAUUUUUGGAAGAGUCAUUUUUUUGUUUAUCUUCCAACCAAACGAUGCUUUAAUUACAACGUUGCCGUAAUCAAUGCCUCAUUGGUGACAUGCACUUCAUACAUUGACCACGUACGCACAAAAUUACGUAUCCUUUGACGCGUUCAAAUUCUCCACUUCCUUAUAGAGAGGGAGAACCUCUGUAUAGAAAGAGAGAGGAGCCGUAUCAAACUCAUCAAACUUCAUUUGAAAAGGAGUCAACGCCCCCCUCUCUCUCUCUCUCUCUCUCUCUCUCUCUCUCUCUCUCUCUCUCUCUCAUUUCCACUAUUUAAGGAGAGACCACCUUAUAUCGCAACAUAAAGUAAGCUGGAUUACGCAGUUCAAUCCCUUGAGGCUGUGGAGAGAUCUAUAUAUAUAUAUAUAUAUAUAUAUCAUGGAGAAGAAGAUUACUGAAGCCGGAGAGACGACAUUGAAGAGGCCGACGCCGUCGCGGCCGGUCCACGGCCAAGUGAGGAAGAUCAGGCAGGAAGAAGACGAGAGGGCAAAGGAAGAGCUGCUGUCGCUGCCGCCUCCGCCGCCCGCCAGAAGGCCCGUCUCGCAGUCUCCUCUCGGCCGGGCGGGCCGCGUGAUCUCCGUCGGCGAUUGACGGACAAUUGAUCGAGCUGAACUGCUCAUGCUUUUCAGCUGUUUGGUUACAAGAUGGAAUGUUCUGCAGAGAGGCUUCUUGAUUCUUAUCUUUUAGUUUUACCAAUCUUCUUGUAAAUAUAAAUAAUAUAGGUGUAGGCAAUUUGAUCUUAUACAACUUUACCUUUCUUUUCUAUUCCGUGUGAUACUGUAGGAAGAACAUAAGAUCAUAUUGUAUUUUUUGACAGGUGACAUUAAUUAGAUCAUAUUGAAGAGUUUGUUUUGAGAGCGCUCUGUUUUUACGCUUUGCCUUUUCAAGUCACCAGAAUCUCACUUAAAGUGGGAAUCCAAUCGGAGGUGCAUACUGUUAAAGAAUGCGAAAUAACAGUGUUUUUAAUUUCUAUACGAAAACACUCUCCUUAAUAUUUGAGGUCGAGAUUUUUUUUUUAUUUUUGAAAGAGAGAUAGAAAUGUGUAUUAAUUAGGAUUCGAACUUGAAAUUUCGGAUACCAACUACUAAAUCCUUUGUCACUUGCUCUAGAAAUAGUGAGGUCAAGAUAUUUUUAUACAUAUAAAAUAUAGACUUCAAUUAAAUAAGAAAAAAUUAAUAAUACUAGAAACUGAAUGAAUGAAGCGGGUAGCGUGCUAUUUUUUUCUCAAAAAAAAAAAGAAGAAAAAUAAUACUAGAAACUUGGUAUAGUUAGCACUGAGAAUCUCGAGUUUAGAUACCGUGUUAAAAAAAAAUUAAUACUAUUUUCUAACGACUUAAAUUUUUUUAAAUCACAAAAUUAAAAGUCUAUAAAAUUUAUGAGUCGUGCAAGCUAAGACGAUUCGGAGCUUUCUCUGCAUCUUACGAGGGGAGCGGACUUCACUUUUGCAUUAAUUGCUCUCGAGACUCUCAUAUAUCUACUCCCACAGAAAUCCUUUUUGACUUGUCUUGGUUACUACGCUCUGUUUUGUUGGCUCCAAUCUAUUUUUUUUUUCCUUUUUUUUUUUAUUUUUAAAGAACGAUAUCUAUUUCAUUCAUUAAAAAAAAUAAAUUAAGCUAUAAUAGUGAGAUAGAGGGACCUCCGAACGAUAUCAAAAUAAUUUUAAAAAUUAAAAAAUUAAAAAAUUAAAAAAAAAAAGAAAAAAAUUUAAAUUCCAUUAAAUUCUAGGCCAGAAUACGCUCGUUUAAACACGCUGUUCUCCUCCCACUGAAGCUUCAAACGUCUGAUCGAGUUGACAGCUAGCAAGGGUUCAGCAUUAGCCAUCCUAAAAAUAACGGCAUUCCUUACCUUCCAGAUAACUCACCAACUGGCUGUGAGUCCAGUCAUUAUGUUUCCAACCGAUUGAGCACUAUCCCUUGCCAUCCGUUUAUUCCAUACGUAUAUUACAUCAUCACCCAGGUCCCCAACCUGAAUCCCUUCCACAGCCAUGCCAAUCAAGAAUCUGCUGAAUCUUCCCUCAGCAUCAAUAUCUAUAGAUAUAGAUAUAUUAAUUUUUCAGUUUUACUGUGGCCGACGUGUCACCUCCUCAGCGCCCCCCUCCUCUCGCGCCCCUUCGAAGCGUCCCCGCGUUUGGCGGGGGCUUCGAUGGCCCCCACAGUGGGGGGGGCGGCAGCGGCGGUCACGUGUGCGGGACCCCGCAGCGGGCGAGCUGCAGCGGCUAGCGUCGGGCGCGGGGCGGGCGACACGUGGCUUCGGCGGACCCCACAACGGGGCUGGCGGCAGUUUGCGCGGGCGUCGGGCGCAGGUCGCGCGCCCUCUCUCUCUCCUAUCGGGUGUUUGUCAGGUCUCCCUCUCCCCUCCCCUGGCUUUCUCUCUCUCUCUCUCUCUCUCCUCUCCCUUUCCCUUCGGCUCUCUCUCUCUCUCUCGAUUCCUCUCUCUCUUUACCCCAGAUUCCUGCCCUCUCUUUCCCCAACCCCUCGGGCCCCACCCCCCGGGCUCCCUCUCUCUCUCUCUCUCCCCUCGCGCGUGCGCGCCCGGCGCGGGGUCGCCGGACAUGGCAAGUCUUCCCCCCCGCCGCCCCCGUCUGUUUCCCUUCUCUCUUCUCCCCCUCUCAUUCCUCUUCCUACCCCCUCUCCUGCUCCUCUCUCUCGCCCACCCUUUUUCUCUCGCUCCCACAUUCCCUUGGCUUUCUUCUCUCUCUCUCCCUCUCUCUCCCCUUCUUUUUUUUUCUCCCCCCUCAGGCUCUCUCUCUCUCUUACCCACUCUCUCCCUCUCCCUACCCCACCCUGGCUCCCUCUCUCUCUCUUGCGCGUGAGCGCGGGGCCUGCCCGGGCGCGCGCGCGUGGGCCAGGAGAGCGGGCCGAGUCAGAAGGCACGGGCACGGCGCGGAGCGUAAGCGAAAGCGGCGUCGCGGAGAGCUAGCGCGCGGCACGGGCACACCGUGGAGCCGAAAACGCGGCUCAUAGCCGUGGUUCUCACGGGGUCGCGAGGCCGCUUCGCCCUCGUGAACCACAUGAGAGGGAGCGUCCAACGGUGGAGCCUCCGCUCUCCAUUAUAUAUAUUAUAUAUAUAUAUAUCUAUAUAUAUAUAUAUAGUCCGGCUACUAUGUUAUUGAUAGCACGAAGCACUCGGUGCUACCAAGUUUUUCGCCGUUAGAUCUACUCUUUUGAUCAUUUUCACCCGUUAGAUCAUAUUAUUCAACCAACCACCCACUCAACCCUAGGGGGCUCACAUCAUCCUAACCGCACAUCUCUUAAUCCAAUGGCUAAAAACUUGGUAGCACCAAUGACUUGGUGUCACGCCCCCGGGGUCCCUUUUAGUUCAAAGCAUAGCGGAAAAGCAUCUAAAUUUUUUUUUUUUUUUUAAAAGCCUGACCCCAGAGUGUGCCAGAUCCGCCACAAACACAGGAAAUUCACUGUUCACACGGACAGAGUCUCCCCUGUAUUUGCACGGCGUCACACAAGUACAACAGAGUAUGAAUACAAUCACAACCACAACCAGAUGAACGACAAGAUAGAUAACAUUCAUCCAUUCCAUUCGCACACACAGAUAUGAUACUUGAGUUAUGAAUAACAUUCCACAUCUAUCAGUUAAAAUGUUUCCUAUCUGGAAACUGAUUUUGAAAUACUAAAUCCAUAAAACCACAGAAAAUCAAUUUGAAAACUGUUCCCCACACGGGAACCAUUCUUUUUCAAAACCAGCUACCACGAGGGGUAGAAAACUGUUUUAUCUCAAGAAAACCAGAAAUCCAUUUAAUACAAUUUGAAGUCCACUACCUCAGGUUAUUCCAAAGUCGGAGCAAAACUGAACCAUAAAUGAACUAAAGUAAAUACGAAGAGUGGCGGGUGCUAACGCAGCUAGACACGAUCCUCACCAGCUGUCCCGCUCGGACCAGCUAUUUCACCUGAAAAAGGGGCGGGGAGUGAGAACAUGUAAACAUGUCUCCCCUCCCAGUGGGUACCGCAAGCCGGAGAGGCCGAGAGGUACUCACUAGUCACGGAGAACUAGAUAGAUAUAAGUGUUGGUAAGUAAAGAUGCUGAUAAGUAGGGAGCUGACAAGUAUAGAUGCAGGUAAAUAAAAUAGUAGCUACAAUAAACAGAUAAGGAUGUACUGGAAAUAAACACUACAGCUACUGUAUGCAUGCGUCAACUGACGAUAACCUCAAAAGUACCCAAUCUCGUUGCCCUAUUAGUCUGAAGACCUCAGGCCCAUGCCACACUGCUCACCCUGUACCUGACCCUCGCAAUGAAGCCCCUGGGUCAGAAGCAUAGUACCUGACCCUCGCAAUGAAGCCCCUGGGUCAGAAGCACAGUACCUGACCCUCGCAAUGAAGCCCCUGGGUCAGAAGCAUAUACCCUCGCAAUAAAGCCCUUGGGCUCACGGGUUGGCAAUCCAACCACUUUUUCGGAAAAGAACACCCUCUUGCGGUGGAUCAGACCGCUGGUGUUCGUGAAAUGCGUAUCUGGAGUGGCGAUCAAUGUAGUAUGCUCAAAGAUCAUCCAUCCGCAACUAGCCGACAAUCCAAGCCCCUCAGGGCACAUCGACCGUAUAGGUCAUCAGCAACUAGUCGGCUACGUAUGUCAAGAUAGAACUGUAGCAACUCGACCGAAUAGGUCAUAGAUAUCAAAAUAGGGGAACCGCCCAACCAAAUCACAGAUAUAGUGAACAGAUAAGUCAACUCUACUUCUAAGCAUGAUAUCGACAUGGAAAUAACUGAGUAGAGGAAUGCAGAUAUAAAUGCAGGUGCAAGGUUCAAUAUAACUGUAAGGUAGAGUAAACAGUAGGGGUGAAGAAGCGUCACCGAGCGUGCACCACUGUACCGACUACGGGUCGAAGUACCCACCUGUACGUGUCUGACGAAGGUCUCUCGACUGUGAAGACGGUGCAACCGAACCUACGAAAGGUCCAACGGGUUAGGAUCUAACCCACUGACAUGCAACGCUAUCUCACAACCCCCAAUCAUAGCCCCACGGAAUCGGUUUCCCAAAACCGAUUACGAACAUGCCGGAAGUUCCGAAAAUCGCACCGGAACUCCCCCGUCGCUCACCCGUCGUUUCCCGAACCCUCGAAACGACAUGGGUGACCAGCCAACAAGACUCAGCGACGCUACAUUCAACCACAAGGCGCCGUCGGAUGAACUCCGAAUCGAAAACAUGUUCUAUCGGUGGAUUUCGUCGAAAAAUGCUCCGAAAACUACUUUUCGGUUUCCGCAAGGGUUUGGGGCCUCGGACGAUCAGUCCAGAGGUUAUCCUCAGCCCAAACAUGCUGCCAACAGCAGCCACAACGAAGCAACAAUCAUAAAAGCCCAUAUCGAUACAUGAAAUCGCAACAUUUUAUGUGUUUUCAAGGCUUUUCUGGAUCGUGCACGCAAACCAAAGAUCAAUUAAGCGAAUCAUCGCGCUCGCUGAUAGAUUUCAGCAUGACGGAGGCUGUGCUCACCUUUCGGAGCACUGCAGGCCGCUGGGGUGCGCGUACGAGCGAUGCGAAGUUCUGUUAAUCUGCGCGUACAGCCGGAGAUCGCGACUAACUCACUAACCAGGGCAUCUUUGCUGCUAUCGGAGGUGAGCACGAUGUUCAGCACGAGUUGUAGAUCAUCGUGCUCACUUCCCGGGGUUUAGGUGGCUCAUUGGAUCACCGGAAAGGUGACCGGAACCUCGGAAAACAGUGCUGGAACAUAAAAUGUCCUUACCAGACCCGAGGAGAGCUAGGGUUGGUCGCCGGCGGCCGGGAGGCGGGCGGUCCGGCCGGAGGAGGGAGCAGUCAGUCCAGGAGGUCCGGGGAAAGACGGUGCACCCCUUGGUGGGCGGCGGCGACGCUUGGAAGCUGAACGGACUCGGCCUCAGCCCGCACGGUUCCAGGCGGCCACAGGAUGUUGCAGUAGCGGCCGGCGGCGCGCGGGGACGGCGGGGGACGUGCGCGCCGGGCUGCUGGAGGUCGCCGGGGCCGACAGGAGGGCGGCGCGGCCAAGGUGAGGCGUGGACGCCGAGUUCAAACCGGCUCGGUCAGGGCUGACCCGAGCUGGUCGCAGGGAGCAGGGGUGGCUCCGGCGGCGCUCGGGGGUGGCCGGGGCCGGCGGGGGAAGACGCCGGAGAUGGGCUUCGGCCAGAGGAUGAUGCUCCAAGGGGUGAAAGAGGCUUCCUUCGCAACUUCGGCCAAGUUGGAGGAGAGGGUGGCCGAGAGAGCAAGAGAGGAGGUCGGGGUGGCCUUUCCGGCGGCCGGAGUAGGUCGCCGGCGGCUGGGGCGUGCGCACAGGUUGGGCAGGGUGGUGCUGAGGCGGCUAGGGUUAGUUAGGUGAACGUGGGCAGUCAAAAAGUCAUGGGAAACCCUAGAUGCCCAUUUUAUACAAGGUGACACUUUGCGAGGAACCCCUCCAAAGUCUAAUAUUUACAUUCCAGCCCCUGCCAACGUGUGGAUUAGGCGUAUAGGUCCCUCUACAUUCGAAUUCGUGCAAGACCGCGCAUAAAAUAUUGGACCUUAUCGCGAAUAAUCAAUUUUGCACAUUGACCUCUCAACGGACUUUUCACGAUUCCCGAAGAUCCGUCCAUCGGAUUUCUGAACGAUUGAGCCAGCGCGUUCAGCAUGACUGGGGCAUCGAAUCUAGCAUUUAUUUCAUCGAAUUUGGUCUUCGAUCAGCGACGAAACAUCCAUUUCGUUUUUCACCAUAUAACCACUUAUGUUAAUACAUAUAAUUUCCAUUAAACCCCUUUUUCUCGACAACCUGCAUCAGAAACCCAAUUCCGUCAGUGUCAUGGGUCCAGAAUGGUCGAGCCAUUCGAAAUGAGCUAUUGGAUCGCUAUGAACGGAGUCCAAUACGCACCGAAAGCCAACUCUACUCCGUGGCUUCACCGAAAAAAACGGCAUUACUAUUCACUUUAAGUGAAAACUAAUAAUGCGUAACUUCUCCUUUCUAGCUCAUUUUCUCCUGAAACUUGACGAGUGCUUAUGUAAUUAAAAUACACACAUAAACAUCGUCAACAGAGGUUUAGUUGCACUGUCAAAAUCUCAGUCCUUACACUUGGUGCUAUUAAUAGUAUAUUAGCCUUAGUUAUAUAUUAUAUAUAUAUAUAUAUAUAAAUAUUAUAUAUAUAUAUAUAUAUAUAUAUAUAUAUAUAUAUAAUAUAUAUAUAUAUAUAUAUAAAAUUUAUUUAUAACAUAUAUUUAUUAUUAUAUAUUAAUAUAUAAUAUUAUAUAUAUUAUAUAUAAUUUUAUUCAAUUCUAUAUAUAUAUAUAUUUAUUUAUUAUAUAUAGUACUUUGUUUUUAUAUAGAUAUAUUAUUAUAUAAUAGUUUAUUACAUAAUUCACUAUUUAUUUUUAUAAAAUAUAAACUAUAUAAAUAAAUAUUAAAUAAUUUAGACUAUUGGUAUUAGAUAUAGAUGUAAUUUUAUAUGUGAAGGUAAUAUAAGAUUUACACUUAUAUGUAGAUGUACAGAUAGUAUUUUUUGUAUACAGAAAUUUGUACCAUUAUAUAUGCAAUUAUAAUUCUUCUUUUCUAUUUAAUUUAGGGGAGAAGAUGAAUCAGUACAUGUACAUCAACAUUAUUCUUUGAAUGAGCUAAAUGACUGAUUCUUUUGUCUGUAGGAAUAUAUUGCGAACUUUUGUACUAUAUUAGUCAUUUACUGCCUGAGCCAUCUUUUGCUUCUAACUUAUGAUAACCAAUUAAUCUACUUAACUCUUAGGUGUAGGCUUAUAUCCACAAACAAAUAUGCAAGUUUGUCUUUGUUUGUUUAAUUAUUUGUGCUCAUUUUACGCUGGAAAUUGCAAACCCUGUUGGUAGCUUAGUGCAAAAUAUAUAUAUACUUUGAUUUAGCUAUAUUUUAAUUGAUUUAUAUACAGGCCGUAUUGAUGAUUCUCCUGUCAUGCUUGCCAAACGUCAAACUUUUAUGAAUGCAAGUGCUGAGUCUGUAAGUAGAUAUCUCUAACUCAUCCAAAUUAUGUACAACUAUCUGAAGCAAUUCUUUUUAUUAUCCUAUUCCAAUUUUAUGAUGCAAAUUGGGGCUUCUUUAUGUAGGUUGGUUCGCUGGUUUCAUAUUACAAGAUAUGACUGAAUCAAGUACUUCUGGUAUAUAUAUCAUAUUGUUGUUAUGCAACUAUUGAUGUUUAGUUUUUACUAUUAGUUUUUGAUGGAUUUUUAGUUUUGUUACUUUGUAGAUGUAUGGUGAUUUGGAUUUACCUUUUGCAAAAUUGCGUCUACUAUAAAAUGUCGAAACUUAAAAUUUUAAUUUUUACAUUUAAAAGUGAAAUUUCGACAUUUAAAAUUUAGUAUUUGAUUUUUUUAAAUUCAAUUUGUAAUUUAAUAUUUAAAAUAUUGAAUGUUUAAAUUUAAAAUUGAAACUUAAAAUUAAAAAUUGUAUAUUUUCCCUUAAUUACUAAAACUAAAUGUUAAAAUUUUUCUGUUUUAAAUUUUAAAUUUUAGUUUCUAAAUUAUAGAUUUUAAAUUUUAUACAAAAAUUAUAAAGCUUAAAAUUUUGAAAAUUAUAUAUAUUAAUUUGUUGAAAUAUACCAUGGAAUUUCAGAUUAUCUAGCUGAAUUCCUAAAAAUUCAAAAUUACAGCGACAUAUAAAAGUUUAGAAUUUAAAAAAUUAGAAAUCAACAAGACUCUAUAUAAAAUCAUAUAUUCAAAAUAUACAAACUGAAUUAAGAUAAAAUAUAUUUUUGGAAAUUUUAAUUUUUAAAUUGUUAAUUUCAAAUUUUAGAAUUUAAACAAAAGGGAAUUAGAAAUUUUAAAUUUUAAAUAAAUUACGUAAAUUUUUCGCCGCAAAGCGCGGGCCUAUACUAGUAAUCCUAUGAAUCGGCAACCCUAACGGAGCCCUCCCCGCAAUUCGCGCUCUCCGCCCUCGCGUAUGGCGCGGCGGUCCCCCUCCCGCCCACCUCACACCACCCCCCCCACCGGCGAUCCCCCCUCCCCCCCCCCCCCUCGGUGCUGCCCCUCCCCCCCGUCUUCGGCCGGGAUGGUCCGCUCUGACUUUCCUCCCUCGGGAACGCAGCUGUCUUUCCCCUACGGGGGCAACCCUAACGGAGCCCUCCUCUCGUUUCACGCUCUCCUCCGUUUUGUACGGCGCUCUUCCUCUUUGUCUUCGCCAGGAUGGUCCGCUCUGACUUUUUCGUCCUCUCCGCCUUCGCUGUUGUGGUCGCCAUCCUCCCUCGGGAAUGCAGCUGUCUCCCCGUACAGCGCGGCGUUCCCCCCCACUCUCCUUUCGUCCUCUCUGCGCAGCCGCGACGCCGUGCGGCAUGGCGCCUUCCCUAUUCUGUUGCCCGUCUGCCUAUCCCGUCCGAUUUCCGUACAAGCGGGGGUUGCCGUUGUGCUGUCGGCGAUAUGGGCCGCGUCUUUUCCUCAGCCGCACGUGUUCAGCUGUCCAGUCCGGCGUGGCUCCUCCCUGUGAUAUGUGGUCAACAGGCAUUAAUCAAGGUAUAUAUCAUGACCUUCUUUUUUUUCCUAUCCUGUUGUCCUCCGCGAUCGCAGCCCACCUCCCGUAGGGCAUGGAGCUCGCGUGCUCUCUCUCUCUCUCUCUCUCUUCCCCUCCUGUGUAUGAUUUCCUGUGGGGCUUCCAUGCGGCUGCUCAUCUUUAUCCCUCUGUGCUCUCUCUCCCUGAUUUCUCCUCUCUUACUGUGCUCUGCUUGCUUUUCCUCUCUCUGGUUAUUAUAAAUACUAAAGAGGCUGGUAUUUUUUUUCUCUGCGCAUUUCUAGUUCGCCCUGAUUUUGAACCCCCUGUUUUUGGAACGUUGUUGCUCUGUCGUUCUUGCCCUGUGGUGCUUUUGAGCGUUGCAACUGAUCGAUGGGUAAAAACAAGCAUUCGGAUGCUUCAUGAUUUCCCUCCCCCCCUCCCUUUUUUUUCCCUCUUAUACUUACUCUUAUACUUUUUUCCCUGCAUGUUGGUGUGUUUGAUUCUGUGCAGCAAGUCUGCACAUCUGUGGCUCCUAAGGUAUUCUGUCAAAUUUUUCUCCUAUUUAUUUGGAACACUGAAGUUUACUUACACUGAAGUUUUAUUCUCGAAAUUAUAGAAGGCUGGGAAUUGGUAGAGAAGGCUGGAAUUGACGUAAUAUAAUGAUUGUGCUUGUCUCUACACUUAAAUGAGCUAAAUUAGAGAAGGCUGAAAAUUUGGAGAGAUUUUUUGCAAAAAUUUGGCUGCUACUGUUUCCUCCAGUUUGCACGAUUGCGCCUCACUGCUGGAACCUCCUCACUCCCUCUCUAUCUUCCCCAAUCAGCCACCCUCUCUCUUUGCUUCACUGUGAUCAAAGGAGCCCUUAUGUUAUGAAUAGUGGGAUGUUGUGUUAUUUGUAUUUGGUAGGUCACUCUAAUUAAGAGCAUCCGGCACCCCUUAAUCCUAAAGGUCUACUUUCUCCAACUUAUUUUUGUGGUGGUUCCAACAGAUUGUGUUGUGAAUUUCUACUGAUAUUCUCUUUUCCUGUGUUUGCCAGGUUGCCGCAGCGAACCUCUCGGGAAUUUUGGUCCGCUCAUCUCCUUCUUUCCAUUGUGCUCCUUUGCUUCCUACUCUAUUUAGUACGAUUCCUCUACUUACCACUGCUGGUUCUGACACAUUAAUGUGUGGUGCUACUUUAUUUACUGUGAUUUCCUCUCUUAUGUUUUGCUGUUAGUACAUUUGAGUUGCUAUUUUCAAAGUGAGAUUUUGGGUGUUGAGUGUUCGAUCCUAACUCCCAAUUCAUGUUUUUUUUAUAGAAUGUGUUUCUUCUUUCCCCUCCCAUUUAAUUUUAUGUUUUGUUCUUACUGAUCUCCUUUGACAGAGAGUUAAGCUUAAUUACUUGCCUAUACAUCUCCUAUUUAUUGCUUAUUUUUUACCUAUUUGUUAUUUGCUUCUCCCCCUCUUUGUAUGAUGCUUUUGUUCAGGUGAUUUUCCUUGAUGAGGUCUCAGUGCAGUGAAUGCCUACUUGCUUGCUUCUCUGCCUUCUGUUUGAUGCUUCCUUCGUUGAUAGAGGUGAUGAUGAUUUCCGCAAAAAAAAAAGAAGAAGAAGAAGAAAGGAACAAAUAAAAAAAAAUUGUUGACCCCGUUCUUCUACUAAAUUAGUUACUGAAUUACUUACACCAUUACUCCUCCAGUGCCCUCUAAUUUUUUUAGUUGUUCGUUGCUGAGCAUAAUUUGCAGCUUAGCUAUUUUUCAUGUUGGAGAAAAUGCAUAUAUUACUAUGUGGUUAUCAAUUUUGCCCCCUCACUAUAUUUCUUGCUUAUUUUCUCGCUACUCUCCUACAUUGCUUCAGAUUUUCUACUUACUUUUAUUCUGCUACUAUUUUUUUUACUAAUUAUUUAGUAAUUUUACAAAUUUUUUGUGUAGAUAAUUUUUUGUUCCCCCGAGGGAUAUUAUACAAAUUUUUUACAUGACUGGUUUACUAUGAGGUUAUCAACUUUUCCCCUUUAGAUUUUAUAUAUAUUUUUAUUAUGUUUAUGAUACUAUAUUUUUCCUUUUUUGACUAAUUAUUUAGCUUUUUUACAAAAUUUUCGCCUAGGUGAUUUUUCGUUUCCACGAGGGAUAUUACACAAUUAUUGUGCAUGGCUAGUUAGUUUUGCACAAACUUGGUUCUUUGGAUCCCUAUUCUUCUUUUAUGCUCUACAUGGUAUAAAUUGAUUCAUAGAGGCAAUGGUGGUUUUAACAAAAUGAAAAGAAUUGUUGAUUACUGUUUACUGCUAAUUUAAAUCGGACUUUUAAAAUUUUCAUUGUUUGUUCCUACUUUAUACUGAAUUAAUUUCAAUAUUACAUUGUAGGGUUAUCCUUCUGCUGUGUCUCUCUCCUUAACUACCCAAUUUUUUUUGGUUGCCUCUAUUUCUAUGCUAUUUGUUCCUCCGGUGCCAUCUAAUUUUUUAGAUGCUUUGUUGCUGAGUGUAGUUUGCAACUAAAAUAUUUUUCAUGACAGAGAAAAUGCAUACAUUACUAUGCAGUGGUCAAUCUGAGCCUCUUCCAAAGUCGCCUAAAAAGAUGCUAUGGGUUUUACUUCUUAUUUCUUUUCCGCAAUACUUCCCGUGCUUACUUUCUCGCUACUCUCUUACAUAACUUCUGCCUUCCUAUUAACUUUUAUUUUGCUACUGUAUUUUUCUGCUUCUUUCCCUAAUUGUUCAGUUUUUAUACAGAUUUUCUUCCUCAUUAAUUUUCUAUCUUUGCCGAGGAGUAUUAUGCAAAUUUUUUGCCUAAUUGUUUGGUUUUUCUCAAACUUGGUUCUUUGCAUCCAUGUUCUUCUUUCAUGUUUGCAUUAUAUGAAUUGAUUGAUAAAGACAAUGAUGGUUUCAGCAAAAUAGAAAGCUACACGUUGGGAACAAAAAAGGAAUUGUUGAUUACCCUCUUCUGCUGGAUUACUUCAGAUCUUUUGAAUUUCCAUUGUUGGUUCCUAUUUUCUACUGAAUUACUUUCGAUAUUACACUAUGGGGUUAUCUUUUUGUUGGCUUUCUCUCCCUUUAACUACCUGAUUCCUUUUGGUUGCCUCAAUUUUUGUGCUAUUUAUUCCUUCAGUGUCCUCUAAUUUUUCAAAUGCAUUGUUGUUGAGAUUAGCUUGCAACUUAACUGCUUUUUCAUAGUUGAGAAAAUGCGUAUAUUACUAUGCAGUGAUCAAACCUUCUGUGGGUAGGCUUGGAUAUAAAAGGUAAACUCUGAUUUAAAAAUGACAACUCUACAGCUGAUAUGAAAAAUUUAGAUGAAGUUCUAUUUGCAGAGAGACAAUGUCUUAGGUAAUAAUAAUUCAAAAUUUUAUUCAUUCAUAUUUAAAAGUACUGCAGUAAAACUUUCUUUUUAUUUUUCUCUUUUUUUUUUUUCGCAGGUAUGCUGAUGAUGCUCAAAUAAGUGAAGACAAAAAAUAAAGAAUCAAACAAGUGAAGUGAAGACAAAUAAUAAAGAAUCAAAUUCCGUAUAUGUAAGAAAUGGAACUUAUUUAGAAUUAUGUUAUGAUCCAGUUUUUAGCUAUAUAAUUUACUUAGACUUUUAACUUCAUGCUUUUUUUAAAUCGUUAGUGUACUAUCCAAUAGUGUAUAUCAAUUGAUUUGGUAUAAAAUUGAGUUCUUCUUUCUUGCUUAAGCUAUCCAUGUAUAUAUUACUCACUCCUUGCCCACGUUAAUAAAUUACUGUUGUAUUAACUUCCCGCCGCAACGCGCGGGUCCCCUUAACUAGUUAGAAACCUAGAAAGAUUGGAGAGAGAGAGAGAGAGAGAGAAUAUUCUUGUAGACAUUUUGGUUUAUGCUUUGUGGUGGGAGUAGAGAUCGGGUUGCAUUUUUCCACCUCCACAUCCUCACUUUCUACCUGGGCUAUCAGCUAGCCCAGGAACAGAAAAGGAAGAUGAUCCUUUCUCCUUCCCUCUUCUCUCUAAGUGACUACCCAUCUCAACUUCGAAACUUUUUAGUUUUAAAAGCCUUAAUUUGAACUUAAACAUGCUGAUCAUAGAACAGAUGGAAAGGACAUAGAUACAUUGUAUUAUAAACUACAAAAUUUUUGCGCUCCUCGACAGCAAAACAAUUCCUUAUUAUUUUGCAUUGUAAGUUUUUAAAGCCCUUCAUUGUCCCACACCAUCUAUUGUAAGACAUCUUUUAAGUAGUACACACCUAUCUGACAAGUGAAAUUGCUCUACACUGAUGAUGCUGCAACUACUGAUUAACUGUUAAAAAUUAGCGCUAAACUUAUCUUUUUUUGUUUCUUUUUGUUUACAACAUCAAUAAGUGUAUUUGUAGGAGCCCAAUAAUCUAUUGUUUAAAUUGACCUUUUUUUUUUGCUCUUUUUGAUUCAGGUUGACUUGUGGCUUAUUUUUGGAUAGUGAGCCAAGUUGGUACGGACGAAACCAGGAUUCAAUCACGAGGGAUGCCAAAAUAUAUACAAAAAAAAUAUUUUGACAGAUAAAUAAGAUUUUAACUACUCAAAUUUUUAAUAAAAAAAUUUAGUGAUUAGAUAUUUAAUGUUAAAAAAAUAUUAAAUUUAUUUCGCUAAUUUACACUCGCUUAACUUCUAAUUAUUUUAUUUACAUUAUUCUAAUCAAAUAACUUAAGAAUUUUACUAAAUCUAAUAGUAAUUUAGUUAAAAUUUAUUUUUUUAAAAUUUUUGUUAAUAAAAUAAUAACAACCAAUGACUAAUAUCUAACAGAACUAUUAAAUUUAGCAUACUAUUUUAUUUAGUUAAAUAAAUUAGCUCAUCAAAAAUAAUUAGAAAGUUAAUUAUUUCAAAGUACUUAAUUAAGAGGUCCUUAGCGUAUUUUCACCUAUAAAACACAUAAGAAAAGAGAGAGCUCUAUACUAGCACUAAAAACUUUUUACAAGAUAGGCCUAUAUAUUUUAAAAAUUAACUAAAAAUUUAUAAGCUACUAAAAAAUUAUAAAGUAAAUAUUGAAAAGUGCAAGUUGGGCCACAUAGGUAUAGUUAGGGGUUAAAAGAAAAUAGGUUAAGUGAGAAAACCAGCUUCUCCUCUUUUUCUCCAUUAUUUCCUUAUUUGAUGUUUCUCGCCGGAGCAAGAAAAGUGUCAAAGAGGGUCAAAGGUGGUUGGAAUUUUGCUAGGUUUGAGAUGGGUGACAUCUAAUCUGCCUCUUUUCCUCUCUUGUGAACAUCCAUUGUGUUGCGUGCCGAAUGUCCCGAUCCUUGACCCGGUCAAGUAUUCUCCUCGGGAAGGGCGUCGGGAUGAUGCGCGGCCGCGGAUUAUGACCCUCGAAGUAUGCGCCCACAGAGGAUCAAGCGAUUAGGCCGAUGAGGGAUCGGACCAGCCGGGUUCAAAAACCUCUGCAGUAAAUUCGCUUCGGCAGGAUGAGCCGAAUGGAGAAGGGAAGCCCAGAUUUCGACUAAAAGAUGAGCCGAAUGGCUAAACAACUUAAGAUCUGAUCGGCAGGAAGAGCCGAAAAUGACUUUUUAUUGAUUAGCAAACGGAAAGAGUACAGGAACAGGGGAGUGAUGCCCGUAGGGCAGACAGACUCCGAGUAUGAGAAUAGGAGAGUGAUGCCCGUAGGACAGACAGACUCCGAGUAUGCUAAAUUACAAGAACUACUCCUAGGGAAAGCAGUAAAUGCGAGAAUAGAAAGAUGCAGGAAAAUAAAGGUGGUCUUUUGUGCGUAGAGGCGAAGACCCUUUCUUAGGGUGCCGUAUGCCCAUUUAUAAAGUUGCCCUUGCGUUCAGUUAUCGUCAAUGUACGAUCGGCCACUAUCUCCUGAUUUGUAGGACCACCUUCGGCCGAUUGGAACUGCUCAUAACCGCUUACGGUUGCUACGCUUUUUGAACAGACGCGGCUCAUAUCUUCUGGCGCGUUUUAUAUACUCCCGGUCCACCAUUUUGACAUGGACCAUGGACGUGGUCCCGGCUUGCCAGCUGUCCGCAUUGAAUUGGCCCAACACAUUGUAAUGCACUUUUGAUUGAAGGUUUAUUUAAUAUUUUUCGCUUUUCCAUUAUAUGUUGUCUUUAGAUACUUUUAGUGAAGUUGAUAAAAUUCAUAUGUAGAGUUAUUUGCGAUUAUUUUUGUGAACUUUUUAUUUCUCCAUUCUUGUAUUCUACUGUGGUUGUGCGAUUUUGAGCGAAUAGAAAAACUUUGUUUUUUCAGUUUCUAUGCAUCGGAGAAAAGCGUGUGCUCGGGCUGAAGCUGGUUAUACUUUUCUCUUCAUUUGCUUCGUUCUUCGUCGUGAUCCAAGUAUACUGCAUUCGAAUACCAUUCACUCACCCCAAAAGCUUAAUUAGGAAAGGGUUCAAUCACAUAUGGACACAACAAGAAUGAUUCACACACUAAGAUUAACCCAAAUUUCUAUAAUAAUACAACACCUUAUUCAUGUCAUCAAAAAGAAUGAUGUGAUUUCAUAUAAUAUACAACAAAGAACAACCUCAGAUGAACCUAAACUUUAGGAAUAGUCCCAGUUAUUACAACAACUGAUAUCAAUAUUCUGUACACAAGUAAGAUCGUCGGAUUCAUUGGUAUUGAUUAGAAGUUUCUCCACCAUCUCAUCCCAAUCACAUCUCCCACUAGAUGAGGAGGAAUCACUGCAUGAUGAGGCUCCACUAAUGAUAUCUCGAGUGGAUUCUUCUUCGGAAAGUCUCAUUUGCUGUUCCGCGUUCAACCUCGUCGCUAUUUCUACCGCAUCGCUGCGUUCUCUCGCGAGGAAUUGUGUUCUCUCCAUGCUUUGAUGUGGAGGAGGAGUUGUUGCUUCUUCUCUUUGCUCCAUUAACUGGAAAUGAGUAAUUUGAGAACAUUUAGACAAGAUCCAAAGUUUAAACCAUGAGAAUUUCGUGACGAAAACAGUUGAGAUUAAUUGAGCUUCAACGAAGUGGUGAUUGAGUGACAAAUUUAAAGUACAGAAGGAAGGUGCAGCGAGGACGCUUGUGGAAGAAGUUGAGAUAAAAUUUGAAAUAGUCUCACUACUUAUAAACAGCAAUCGAAUCAGAUAAGAAAUUGCCUAUUCUUUUCCUCGGCGCCACCACAUUAGCUGCGUACUACUGCUUAGUGAUCCGCGCUCCGUCGUCUCUCGCACUUCAAUCCCCUUUGUCCAGUGAGCUGCAGGCUUUUCUUGAUUUCAAGUACUAUGUUUUUCUUUUGGAGGGUUGGAUUGAAGUAUAAGAUGAGACCAGGAUCAGAUCACUAGGCAGUACACUGGCUGGUUUGAUGCACCGUUGGCAGGUAACAAUUUCUCCAAUCAGUAAUUGUUGACACAUAGCUGACACAAAGACUAUAAACAUACUAAAGAGAUUACACUUUUUUUUUGUUUUUUUAAGGCCCCUGAUAUGAAUGAAGCAGGUUGAGACUUCAUGUCCCUACCUUUCUCUCUCUCUCACAAAAGAAGAAGAAGAAAAAGAAGAAAAUGCCCCUCAUAUUCUCUCUUUGAAAGGUCCCUAAUAUUCUCUCUCUCAAAAACAGAAAAGCUUCAAUUCUCUAAUCACAGAUAUUGUUGUCCAGUAAUUCUCAUUCAUGCUAAACGAAGUUCAUACAGAGCAAUCUGAAAGUGAGCAAUUCCUAAACAGUAUUGAGUGUAAAAGAAAGAAAAAAAAAAAUUCCACUGUGACCUUUGGAUGAUGAUAUUUUGAGAACAUACACCCUAAAAACAAAUAUGCAUCUCUGAGGAGCAUCAGUAAAAGCACUUCCCGUAUGCUGCUUCGAGUGAUAAAUUUACGACAUCAAAUAUAUUUGUGCGCGUAUGUGCACGCACCUGUUCUGGGGCUUGAGGUGGGGGUGAUUUGAACUGAGAAAGGAAGAGUUUUUGGUAUACUUACUUCCAAGGCCUUCUGUGCUUCGCGCUCUGUCCAAAUAAUCCCAUGAUCAAAUAUAGCAUUACAUGACAGCACAAUAUGCUCAAAUCUGCCUUCGACAGGAAUCGCUGUUCUCACCUCCGGUGGGAAUCUACCACAUCUGCACAAGUAAUGAACCACCACCGAAGUAUUUUGUCAUCUAAAGAAGGGAUACGAAUGUACUAUAGCAAUAAAUUGCAUAUAGGAAUCAUCCUUAUAAUCGUAACUAACAUGAAAAUUGAUUUCAUUCAGGAAAAAUCAGCAAAGUUAGAGAAUUUAUUUGAGAAAGGAAAAUGCCGGUUAAGUUGACGCAGCAUUAAGGAAAGAUUCGAUUUGACCAUCCAGUAAAUGUAUAUUCAGUUCGAAGUUGAUGUAAUAAAUCAUGUAUUAUGAGCAAGGUAAGCUGCAAAGAGAACUAAUAGGAUCGGACAGAUAAAUAAGAGAUAUAUAAAGAGAAUUUACAAUAUCUAGCAGACGAACGGAACUAGAAUACUUUUGAUAGUAAAGGAAUAGUAUUGAUCCAAGGGCUGCAAAGUUGAUAAUAAACACUAUUCAUCUACUAUCAAUAGUAUUCUAGGUGAACUCCUGGCAGAUAAUUAUAUGAAUAAAUAAUUUAUAUAAAAGUUCUGCGCUCCUGGAUGUCUUGCAUUUUACUCUUUAAACCAACUAGCUAAUACUAUCCAAAUAUUUCAGCGUAGUACUGCUAAAAGCCUGAAGCAUACCUGCAAAAUUUUCGCUCGACGAUAUGAAACAUUCUACCCGGAGCAUAAAGCCUAGUUGGGUCCUUAAGCUUUCUUUCUUCUGAUGUAAAUGUGUCUCUCAUGCAAACAAAGAACAGUAAGCAGGGCAAGCUGCGAAAAGCAAUAAAAGAUGGAUUACCAUGAUGUUGUUUUAUAAUAAUCACAUAUAUUUGAACGGAUAAACGCAAACCAAAAGAAAAUGAUAAUAUGGAGGCCCUUCGCAUAGCGGUAAAAGAUCAUAAGAUGUAGUGAUUACCAGAAGAUAGAUCCAAAAAUAUACUGCAAGGGAGUCAGAGUUCUUGGCAAGAAAUCAUCCUGGAAUUCCAUAAUUGUGUGUUAGCACACAUAAUGAUUAAGCGGCAACGUCAUAAGCAUGGAGACAACAAAGUUCACACAAUUACGACGAUACAGAGAAAGUCAAAUAUUCAAAACACAUUUAAACAUCAGGUACAUAUACUUCAAAAGGGCGGUAAUUUUACAGUAAAUAUGAUGAAAAAGAGCAAGAUGAGAAGAAAAGUGACAACUAUUAGAUCCCCUGCAAAACUGAUCCGAACGAUAGAAAAGUUAGAAACCUUAAAAACUUUAGAUGCCUAAAUUCAAGAGCUACAUGUGAAUACAAAUGAUUCAACUCAAACAUUAUGUGAUCACUUCAGACAUAAAAGUUUUGCAUGCCAAAUAUGCUGAGCACUUAAAAAGUCAAGAGUGCUAUGUGUGAAAGCUAGGGAAACUUCAAACUAUGCUUUGUUUCGAAUACAAAAAUGCAUUCCAACUAAAUCAGCAAAGCUAACAUCGAUUCUGCAGUAGAUCAUCGAAACUAACAUCGAUUACACAGGGAGGUUAAGCUAUUAACUAAAUCAGCAAUGAAUGUUUAAGCUAACAAGUUAUUCCCCCUGUGCUUUUCAAGGGAUCAUAUUAUGCAAGGAACAUAAUUGAUCUUAUAGAAAAAUGAAUGUUUUACUCCAUAAUCCGAGAGAACAAGGAAAUAUUAUUCUUUACUCUUCUUCAGAAUAGCCAUGCCAUUGUCAAUUUGUGCUUUUAGAUGAGUUUUUAGGCCCAUUUUCGCACUCUUCUGGUUCUGUUUUAACCGACAGUAUUCUUAGCAUAAUUUUUGACAAAUGACAUACUUUGAAGCUCACGCUGUAAAAGAAAGAAAAAGUAGAAACUCUAAUUUGUUUCUUAUGAUUCUACAAGUGAGAAAAACUGGAGGCAUAAAUAUAUAUUAAUAUAAUGCUUCAGCAAAUAGCAGUAGUCGGACAAUACUUUCGCAAAUAGUACAAUAUACGAAAAAAUUGAGGUAUCUGACUUGCCUGCAAAACAACAGAAUGUAUAACAUCCGCAUACUUAACCGCGAGGUCCAACGACAUGCACCGCGGCGGUGCCACUGCUAGCACCGGACCCGAUUCCUCGGGAUUCCCCCGAACCGGUCUGGGUGGUUCACAACCAGUGCCGCUGCGAGUGCUGCCACGCCCGCCCCAAGUGAGUGCCCCACCAGCACAAGUGAGUAAUCCUCCCCUCCUUCCUGGACCAGCCGGCUCAAUGUUUCGCCCUCCCUGUCGAGCAACCAAACUGCCGCCCGGAACAGACCCCGGUGUACGAACCCGCCGUCAAACGGGUGGGACCCCGGUGGGUUGUCAAGGAGAAGCCUGCAGCCAUAGUUGCAAAUCCGGCAUUCAGAUUAAAUACAGACAAAUAUUCAGUAAAAGUUCAGAAAAUCAUAAGCAAUAGUUGGGAUGAAAUUGGUUAUGAAUGUAGAAUACUAUAAAUGCAUGAAAGUAUAAAAUUAUUAUGUAAUCAUUCAUCUUUCAUCAUUUUUAAAUACAAAACACCCAAGUUUUGUUGUCAGUUAAUAGGCUAUCCAAAGUUUUCACUUAUUGUUAUUUACAGAUCAGCAAAAUACUCGGAGAAAUAUAUAUUCAAAAAGGUCAGUUAGUAGGUUAUCCAUAAGUAUCCGAUGACAACUUAUUCAGUAUGAAGUUUUUUCUGUGUAAUUGAAAAGCAGGGUUUGAUUUUUUACUUCUUGAAAGGUUUUGGCAUCUAUGAUUUUGUAAGAUAGUAUUUCUCUCCUACGAGGUGAUUUAAUUUAUUUUGAAGAAUACCUCACAAGGUUGGAUAUUAUUUCAUUCUAGACAUUUGACCAUACUCCUAACUUUACAAUCACAAUAGAAAAUUUUCUGAUCGAAUGAAAUAUCGCUAAACAACUUAUUCUAACAUCCAAACACGACUGCCGUGGAGUAUUCGGAAGAUGAGGGUGUGAUUAGAUGUCUAGAGUUGAAUAUCAUAUUUGAUUUCAAAUUAUUUUUUCAGAAUAACAUAAAUCGGUUCGUGAGUGAAAUCGUACUAAAUAAUCGUAAACGCCAGGACCUUCUAAACUGGAAAUGCGCAAGUAGUAAUUAUUGAACAACCAAAAUAAAUAAAAUAAAACAAUGACUCCAGAAUUAGGUUGUAAUAGCGGAGAGAGUUGUUAAAUUUUAUGAAACAAUCGUUAUUCUCAAAAGCGUAAACUGAUACGGAACGGUGUUUAAAUAUUCUUAUAUUUAACACAUAUUUUACUGUGCGGAUGAAGUGGACUUGAAUUAUAUGAAACACUUUUUGCUAUUGGCACGACGUGAACUUGAAUUAUAUGAAAGAAAAUUAAUAAUGGUAGGCAUUUGACGUGACUCGAACACAGGACUCUCUGCUCCGAUAUCCUGCUAAAUUUUAUAAAACGACCGUGCCUGUAGUCGGCGUUGCGGACGAGAUCAAGGCCGCGGACGGCGAGGACGAGCUCGCGCAGCCGACGCACACCGCGCACUCCACCCCGCACGACACCGACAUAUCUGUUCUCGUUCGCCGCAACAACAGUAAGAAUAAUAAUAAGAAUAGGAAUGGGCGUCUGGGGAGAGGGUAUAAUAAUAAGAAUAAUAAUAAGAAUAAUAGUAAAGGGUGGGGUUUACGAGGGGGUUGAAUGGGAGAAUCGUCAUGGAAUUUGAAUUCAAAGAAGCGGAUUACGGAUUCUGGAAGGAGGAGAGGAGGAGGACGAGGAGUAGGAGUUCAAGCAAGACAAGGAGGCGCGUAAAAAGUAUUCGGAAGAAAAGAAGCUUCCGCGGGUGAGGAUAUCCGGGAGAAUAUUUGACGAUCGAAGCUUCCUUCUUCGGAUGAUUUGGGAGACAUGUGUCGGUUGAAACUAUGAACUACUUAAAAAUUGGAGCGACCAACUGCGCAGAACGCAAGUGGCAAAGAUUUUAAGGCUUCGUUUGGUAUUGCGAAAAAAUUGCGUUACAUGCGGUGAGAAACGAUGAUAGAAAAAUAUCCCGUUUUAUUUUCGUACGUAAUAUUGCGUUCCGCAUAUUGCGAUGAGUCGGUUACAAUAUAUUUUUCGCGGUCCCACCGGAGAAUGUAGAAACAUCUCCCUAUAUACUUUUUCCUCAACUCCAUUUUAUCUAGUAGCGUUAGAUAGAUUUCGAUACCAAACUAAGCCUAAGUACUGAUGGGUGCAUCAGGUUUUAAGUUUAAAGGCUAAUUAUUUUGCAUUAUAGGUACUGCCAAGUAUAUCUUAUAAUACUAUUGAUGACAUAUCAUUAUUAUUAUUAUUAUUACACUCUAAUAAGAAAUUAAUUAUUAAACCUCAAACAUUAUUAUUAAACUUUAAGUAAAUCUUAAAUCUUUUAUAUAUAUAUAUAUAUAUAUAUAAUAUAUAUAUAUAUUAUAUAUAUAUAUAUAUAUAUAUAUAUAUACGAUGUGAGGCUACUAUACUAUCGGAAGCACGAAGCCUUCCGUGCUUCCAGCUCGUUUUCGAUAUUGCGACUUUCGAAUCGUCGAUCAGCUCCAUUAAACUUGAUCUAGAGUAUUUGGAGUACCUAGAAAUAAAUUUUUUUAUUUUCGAUAUCAUUUGCCUAGUGAUCGAAUGAGCUCAAAAUCAACAAUUUUCAAAUGGCCGUAGUGAGCCGUUUGCAAGUUUAACGGUGUAGAAAUAUCCAAAUCACGUGAAAUUUUGAUAGAAAAUUCUUUAUACUAUAUAAAACAAGAUCAAUAUCUUGAUUUAAAAUUUUAAUGUUAUAUGUAUUACAUUUUGUAAGAUUUUUAUUUUUAGGCCGUUGAUUUUGAGGCCCUCGUUCACUAAGGCAAAUGAUGAUCGUAAAAUCAUAAAAUUUAUUUUCUAGGUACUUCAAAACUCUAGACAAGUUUAAAGAGCCGAUCGACGAUUCGAAAGUGCAACAUCGAAAACGAGCUGAAAGCACGAAGGCUCCGGCUUCCAAUAGCAUAGUAGCCUCACACACUCUCUCCUCUCUCUCUCUCGUUCUCUCUCUCUCUCUCUCAUCUCUCUUAUAUAUAUAUAUAUAUAUAUAUAUAUAUAUAUAUAUAUAUAUGAGUGCGGCUAGGAUGCUUAUGGAAGCAUGGAGGGCUCCGUGCUUCUACUUUGUUUUCGAUGUUCGGAAUUUCGAAUCGACGAUCGGCUUCUUUAGACUUGAUCUAGAGUAUUUGAAGUAUCUAGAAAAUAAAUUUAGCAAUUUUUCGAUAUCAUUUGCCUAGCGAUCGAAGUGGCUCAAAAUCAACGGCUGAAAAUAAAAAUCUUACAAAAUAUGAUGAUAUGACAUUAAAAUUUUAGAUCAAAGUUAUUGAUCUUGUUUUAUAUAGUAUAAAGAAUUUUCUAUCAAAAUUUCAUGUGAUUUGGAUAUUUCUACACCGUUAAACUUGCAACCGGCUUACCACGGCCAUUAAAAUUAUUGAUUUUGAACCCCUUCGAUCACUAGGCAAAUGAUAUCGAAAAUUCACAAAAUUUAUUUUCUAGGUAUUUCAAAUACUCUAGAUCAACUCUAACAGAAUCGAUCGUCGAUUCGAAAGUCCGAACAUCGAAAACAACUUGGAAGCAUGGACGGCUCCGUGCUUCCAUAAACAUACCAGCCCACUCUAUAUAUAUAUAGUCCGGCCACUAUACUUUUAUGAGUAUUGGCUCCCUUAUACUCAUAAGUUUUUGGCCCUUAGAUUUAUUUCAUUGAUCAUUUUCAUCCGUUAGAUCAUACUAUUCAACCAACUACCCACGCAAUCCUAGGGGACCACUAUAAUUUUAAGUGGGGACCACGAUCAUCUUAACCACACAUCCCAUCAAUCAACGGUUAAAAAUUUAUGAGUAUAAGGGAGUCUAUACUCAUAAGAGUAUGGUAGCCCCAGCCAUAUAUAUAUAUAUAUAUAUAUAUAUAUAUAUAUAGAGANNNNNNNNNNNNNNNNNNNNNNNNNNNNNNNNNNNNNNNNNNNNNNNNNNNNNNNNNNNNNNNNNNNNNNNNNNNNNNNNNNNNNNNNNNNNNNNNNNNNNNNNNNNNNNNNNNNNNNNNNNNNNNNNNNNNNNNNNNNNNNNNNNNNNNNNNNNNNNNNNNNNNNNNNNNNNNNNNNNNNNNNNNNNNNNNNNNNNNNNNNNNNNNNNNNNNNNNNNNNNNNNNNNNNNNNNNNNNNNNNNNNNNNNNNNNNNNNNNNNNNNNNNNNNNNNNNNNNNNNNNNNNNNNNNNNNNNNNNNNNNNNNNNNNNNNNNNNNNNNNNNNNNNNNNNNNNNNNNNNNNNNNNNNNNNNNNNNNNNNNNNNNNNNNNNNNNNNNNNNNNNNNNNNNNNNNNNNNNNNNNNNNNNNNNNNNNNNNNNNNNNNNNNNNNNNNNNNNNNNNNNNNNNNNNNNNNNNNNNNNNNNNNNNNNNNNNNNNNNNNNNNNNNNNNNNNNNNNNNNNNNNNNNNNNNNNNNNNNNNNNNNNNNNNNNNNNNNNNNNNNNNNNNNNNNNNNNNNNNNNNNNNNNNNNNNNNNNNNNNNNNNNNNNNNNNNNNNNNNNNNNNNNNNNNNNNNNNNNNNNNNNNNNNNNNNNNNNNNNNNNNNNNNNNNNNNNNNNNNNNNNNNNNNNNNNNNNNNNNNNNNNNNNNNNNNNNNNNNNNNNNNNNNNNNNNNNNNNNNNNNNNNNNNNNNNNNNNNNNNNNNNNNNNNNNNNNNNNNNNNNNNNNNNNNNNNNNNNNNNNNNNNNNNNNNNNNNNNNNNNNNNNNNNNNNNNNNNNNNNNNNNNNNNNNNNNNNNNNNNNNNNNNNNNNNNNNNNNNNNNNNNNNNNNNNNNNNNNNNNNNNNNNNNNNNNNNNNNNNNNNNNNNNNNNNNNNNNNNNNNNNNNNNNNNNNNNNNNNNNNNNNNNNNNNNNNNNNNNNNNNNNNNNNNNNNNNNNNNNNNNNNNNNNNNNNNNNNNNNNNNNNNNNNNNNNNNNNNNNNNNNNNNNNNNNNNNNNNNNNNNNNNNNNNNNNNNNNNNNNNNNNNNNNNNNNNNNNNNNNNNNNNNNNNNNNNNNNNNNNNNNNNNNNNNNNNNNNNNNNNNNNNNNNNNNNNNNNNNNNNNNNNNNNNNNNNNNNNNNNNNNNNNNNNNNNNNNNNNNNNNNNNNNNNNNNNNNNNNNNNNNNNNNNNNNNNNNNNNNNNNNNNNNNNNNNNNNNNNNNNNNNNNNNNNNNNNNNNNNNNNNNNNNNNNNNNNNNNNNNNNNNNNNNNNNNNNNNNNNNNNNNNNNNNNNNNNNNNNNNNNNNNNNNNNNNNNNNNNNNNNNNNNNNNNNNNNNNNNNNNNNNNNNNNNNNNNNNNNNNNNNNNNNNNNNNNNNNNNNNNNNNNNNNNNNNNNNNNNNNNNNNNNNNNNNNNNNNNNNNNNNNNNNNNNNNNNNNNNNNNNNNNNNNNNNNNNNNNNNNNNNNNNNNNNNNNNNNNNNNNNNNNNNNNNNNNNNNNNNNNNNNNNNNNNNNNNNNNNNNNNNNNNNNNNNNNNNNNNNNNNNNNNNNNNNNNNNNNNNNNNNNNNNNNNNNNNNNNNNNNNNNNNNNNNNNNNNNNNNNNNNNNNNNNNNNNNNNNNNNNNNNNNNNNNNNNNNNNNNNNNNNNNNNNNNNNNNNNNNNNNNNNNNNNNNNNNNNNNNNNNNNNNNNNNNNNNNNNNNNNNNNNNNNNGGCAAAAGUUCAAAUUGCCACAUCUUCAUAAGUUUAGUCUACUUUAAAACUAUGUUUAAAAAAAUAUGAUAGAUGUUGUUAUAGUUUUAAAGACUAGCUUUUAAAAUCACGAUAUAGUGGUGAAAAAUAUUCUAAAAAUAAAAGUCGACAAUUUUUAAUAACUAAAACUUAGGAAAACUAAUGAUCCAUUUACUAUAGUUUUUAAGUGUUUUUAAUAAAAGAUCUUUGAAAUUUAUGUGAGCUAGCUCAGAUUGCCUCGGCUAACAACUAAGCUUUUAAGCUAGUCGCUUUUGCCGAGUCCAGUGAGGCACGAGGACUCUCGUGUCGCCAGGACGAUAUAUAGAUAUGAUAUAUAUUUUCGUGCAUAUAAGUUUAAACCCAGACAGCUGUCUGGGUAAAAAGCCGCCUUUUUAAUCGCGAGUAAAAAGAGAAAGGCAUGCUUUUUAAAAUUUAUAUUUUUAUUUUUAUCUUUAUCUUUGGCGUUACUUAUGCAUUCAAGAGAUAUUAUUUAAUGAUUACACUUUUAAGAUUUUUUAUUUAAAAAAAUAAAUUAAAGUUUUCAUUCAAAAGAUAUUGUCUAAUGCCCACACUUUUAAGAUAUUUUUUAUAAAAGGAUAAAAUAAAAUUUUAUAGAGAAAAUCUACAGAUAUCAACCCUUAAAAAUUAUUUAAUUUUGAACCCUUUCGAUCACUAGAUAAAUGAUAUUAAAAAAUCGCAAAAAUUAUUUUCUAGAAACUUUAAAUACGCUAGAUCAAGUCUAAUGGAGCCGAUCGUCGAUUCGAAAAUUUCAUCAUUGAAAACAGCUCGGGGGCAUGGAGGCCCAACAGUCUAUAUAUAUAUAUAUAUAUAUAUAUAUAUAUAUAUAUAUAGUUAAAGUUAUUGUAAUUUCAAUUCUACAUUUAUAGCUACCCUAUUUCCAAAAACAUUCCAACAAACGGGCCGUUAGGACAGCAACAUCUCUAGUUAAUUAGAUAAAACUUUUAAAAGAUGGGAUACAUUGACUCCAUCUAGUUAAUUAUUACUGUAUCAUUCCUUUGCCAUGAAAAGUAUCAAUUUUAUAUCUAGUCACCGUGGCGGCCGCAGAAGCAGAUUUCAAAUUUCCUAUUAAAAAAAAAAUUUUCUUUUAGACAGGUUAAAAAAAAAAAUUCAUUUUUAAAAACAAACAAUACCAAUUACCAUUUAGGUAGAAAAAGAUAAUUAAACCCUCCACUCUACCAUCAUAAAUGAAAAAAAAAAAAAAAGCUAAGAGAGAAUAUUAUCAAAAUGCCUUUUUGUGGGCGCCCAAGUUGCUGUCGUCGCCGUCGCUGCGAUCGCCGCUGACGCCACCCAAUCCAUGGCUGCCACUAUCACCGCCCAAUUAGGCGCCGCCGCUUUCGCCACUCAAAAUGCCACCGCCGAAGCCAGUUUCGAAUCCCCUCAUAAAAGAGGAAAUUUGAUAAGAGAGAGAAAAGGGAGGGGGCGAGGAUUUGAAUGUGUGAGUCCCUAAAAAAGAGAGAAGGAUUUCAAGAGAGAAAAGAAUUUAGAGAGAGGAAAGAUUUAGAGAGAGAGAGAAGGAUUUAGAGAGAAAGAGAGAGAAAAAAUAAUCCGAAGAGAAUUAGAGGAGAGAGAGAAAAGAGGGGGAGAGAGAGAGGAGAGAGGGAAGAGGGGAGUGCGACAUGUGGAGAGGGCAAAGGAGAGCGCGUCAUGUAUACUAGUGUAUUACCCGCGCGAUGCUGCGGAUAUAAAAUUAUUUUUAUAAUAAAUUAUAUAUUUUUUAAUAUUUUUAUAUAGUUUUAUAAGUCUAAUUAUUAAUUAAAUACAAAAUUAUAUAAAAAUAAUUAUGUGCAAAAUAAAUUUAUACAAUAAUUUAUUUUAUAAAAUUUAUAUGAAAAGAAUUUGAGAUAAAUCAAUCAAAAUAAUUUAAGAAAACCAAUAAAUAAAAAAAAAUUUAAAAAAAAUUAUUUAAUAAAAUUAAUUAUAUAUAUACACAUAUGCACUAUAUUUCUAAAAUUUUAGUCCUGAAAUUUAAAUUCUAUAUUUUUUUAUACAGCGAUAUUUUAUGUAAUUUAAAUUGCAUUUAUUAGGUUAGAUUUUAUUACGCGAUUUAUUACGCGUAUUAUUAGAAUUUAGAGAUUUAAAAUUUUAAAUUUUGAAAAGUUUAAAAUUUGGAAAUAAAUAUUAUAAUUUAAAAUAUAAAAUAUUAAAUUUAAAAUUUAAAACUUUAAAAUUUAAAAAUAUCAAAAUUUUAAAUUUUGUAUUAUAUAUAUGUGUGUGUGUGUGUGUGUGUAGAAGGAGAGAGAAGAGAAGGGUUGGGGGGACACGCGUUAGAGAUUUAAAAUUUUAAAUUUUGAAAAGUUUAAAAUUUAGAAAUAAAUAUUAUAAUUUAAAAUAUAAAAUAUUAAAUUUAAAAUUUAAAACUUUAAAAUUUAAAAAAAUCAAAAUUUUAAAUUUUGUAUUAUAUAUAUGUGUGUGUGUGUGUGUGUGUGUGUGUGUGUGUGUGUGUGUGUAUGUGCAUAAAAGGAGAGAGAAGAGGAGGGUUGGGGGGACACGUGUCAGUCUAAGGUCCCUCCAAACCCUCCUUUAAUGUAGUUAAAUAAAUAGAUUUGAAGGAGCUCUCAAAUUAUAAAUUGUAUAGAUAGAUUGUAUAGAUGGUUGAUAUUGAAAAUAAGUACCGAAGUGAUGAAAUGCUGAAGAAAAAAUUUGAUGCGAUGCUUGGGUUUCGGUAGAAGACUAUGCCGAAGGGCACUUCGAUUUUGAUUUUGAUUUUGAUUUUGAUGUUAUGUCUAAACACACCCACUUUGACAAGUAACAGUUGGGUUCAUUUGAAUUGAGUUUUUUGAAAUUCAAGUGGGUCUGAUAGAGAACGAAAAGUUAGGAAGCAGUUGAGAAUAGAAGGAUGGCGAAACAUGGGAGUUACUCUCACAAUCACGACUACAUGCUUAUAAAAGAACAGGGAUGCCUACAAUAAAAAGGAUUCAAACAUUAAUCCAGCUCAAAUACAUAUGGGGGUGUAAUGUAGUGUGUGCCGGGUUGGCUCAGCCCACAUUAUCUGGGCCAACACGAGUUAAGGGUCGGGCAGGAUCUUCCAAGCCUCUAAUCUAGUACAGCCCUUCGGCUUAGAAGGCUCGGGCUAGGUCGGGUUCUGGGCGGCCUCUUAACUUUUUUUAUUUUUUUAAAAAAUAUAAAAUUUUAAAACAUGAAAGAUCAAAAUAAUUAAAAAAUAACCAAUACUUUAUUUUUCUUAAAAUUUUUUUAAAUUUAUUAUUUUUUUUUUCAAAAAGUGUUUUGCCCUUGGGAGGAGGGCUUGGCAACUUGCCCUGGACUUUGUGGCAUAAGCCGUACCGCUCCCGUAGCCAAGCAGUCACUUGGCCCGUUUGACAUUCUUAGAUAUUAUAUGUCAUUAGUUUCAAACUUAUUUUUAUUUAUCUACAAUUGGUAAUACUUGUUCCUGAUAGUAACUGCCGCGAGUCUAAAACUCUCCGAAGCAUGAAUUUGUGGCUACAACCCAUCAUAGAAAACCUCGCGUACUUCUCUUCAACAUACUCCAUCACUUCCCUCUCUCUUACCAUACCAAACACAAAAUUGUUCCAAUUUUGCAUAUAGGAAUAUAUAGUCAAACGAAAUGAUAGCUAUAGGAGUAAAGCUUCAUUUUUUCUUUUUACCGUAGAGGCAAUACAAAAAUAUUACACUCUCUAUAAUAUUGUACUCCUUUUUCAUAAGGUGAAAUUCUUUUUUCGUUGUCCUUGGUCUUUUUCCUGAAAAGAAUUUUCCACAUAGAUCCUUGUAUUCUAUUUUCAUUUACUGCUUUGUGGUUUAUCUAUUUUGUGAUGGUCGUUUUUUAUUUUUGUUUGCGCACUUGUCAUCCAAAAUAUGCCACAUCCUUUGAUCAAGUGGACAUGAGCUCGAUUGGAAUUUUUUAUCAACUAAUAUCAAAGCCAAUGGUUUAAACCUUUUGAUGCUCUUCUUAGAAAUAAGAUGCAUUUAGUGGCUCUUGUAAUCAUAAUUCACAUGAAGCAAAGUACACUUGGAAGAGCAUACUUAGUUGCAUACAAUCAAAUGAGUAAGCUUUAAUUUGUUAGCUUAUUGAAAGUUUGGAGGGCAUGUGUUGAGAAGUGGCAAGAAUUAUUUGCGAUGACUCAUUGAAAGAUUAGAGAAUAUGUAUUGGAGAAGAGCCGAGAAUGAUUUGACAAUGACUCACAGUGCUUAAAGGUUGUGCGUUGAAAAUGAGCCAAAAUGGUAACACAUAAGCAGGAAUUCAAACCUCUGAUCUUUAGAAUAAAUUCCCUGCUAACAACUGUCGAUCGCUCGACCUCCCUCCCUUCUAACAUCCUACUCUAGAAAACAUGUAUUAAAUAGAUGUAUAUAAAGAGAAAAUGGUUGAUUGUGGACCUUAUUUAUUAGGUGAACGUGAGCGAAUUCCACUAGGGAUGUCAACGGGGUAUGGAUACCCGAAAUAUUAUCCGAUCCCGAACCCGAAUCCGAACGGGGCGGAUUUAUCCGAGAUAAAUGGGUAUGGAUUCGGUUAUGGGUAUUAAAAAAAAAAAACCAACAGAUAUGGAUAUGGGUAUGGAUUUUGUAUUUAUCCGACCCGAACCCGAACCCGAAUAAAUUAUAUAUAUACAUAAAUUUAUUUUUAUUUAUUUAUAUAAUAUAUAAAAUAUUUAAUAAUUUUUAUCUCUUAGAUCUUCAUUCAACGGUAUGGAUUUUUAAAACCCGUCGGGUUCGGAUCCGGAUUCGGGUUUCGGCUUUUUGGUCGAGUACGGAUAUGGAUAUGAAUUUUUAAAACCCACCGGGUUCGGGUCCGGAUACGGAUUUUAAUUUGGUUUUCGGGUUUGGGUUCGGGUUUUUAAAAAUCCGACCAAAACCCGACCCGUUGACAUCCCUAAAUUCCACAUAGAUUGGAUCAAUGUGCAGAAUUUUGAAAGAUUCAAAUCCAACCGAAAAACUUAAACUAGUAAGGGAAAAUACUUUCCACAUUAUAUACAGGUCAAACUUUCAUUUUAAAUUGAAUAUGAAAUUGAUAUUCGUAGGAAAAAAAUUCAUAAGAAAUAGUUGAUUUUAUCGUCCAUUCAAAGGCAGAACACAUGCAUCUCAGCUAUUGACUGUGCUAGUUGUUAAUUGGUGGAAGUGUGCAUGCCCAACGUUUUGAAUGAUUCAAACAAUCGGCAAUGUGCAGGGCUUUAAUUUCUUCGCACCUAAUUUGCUGAAAAUCUGCAUCCACUUGAAUUCACCACUGCAUUAAUCAAUGUCUGCUUAGACACUUUCCAUGGAUAGUAAGACCUAAGUUCUUUAUUUUUCUAAUUAUUAAUUAUUAAUAAUAAUUAAUUGUGAAUCUUUCCAAUCUAAUUAAGCACUGUUUAUAAAGUAUAAAUGCCCAUACUUUGUUUAUUUUUUUUUCAAAAAAAAUGAUACUUUCACUUGUUAAAGGACUACUACAGUGAUGUGUUCCAAACCAAACAUCAUGCUUUCACCCUACCUUUCCCCUUUGUUAAGGCUUUAUCUCCAUAAAAAGGAGGCAACCCAACUUUGGCUUUCACAUGUUGGGAGUUUUGUUUGAAUAAAAGCAUACAUCCAAAGUGGGGCAUAAGUCCACCCCGAAUGUGGGGGAUGAAGCAAACAUGACCUAAUUGUCCGGCUAGGGUUUGCGCCGACUAAAGCCCUUAAGUUAAAUUAUAUAAAACAAUUAUUUUUCUAUAAAAUAAUUAUUUCUUUCAAAAGCUCAAGCAAAAUACUUAAGUACCAGAGAAUAAUAUUUUUAAUAUUUAUAUUCAAUACUACUCCUUACACUCCUCACGUUUAGGCUUAAAGAUGCUUUGCUUCGCCGAAGACAUGAACUAAAAUUAAAUGGUCCACACUUUGACUCGUGUCUAAACUUGAGAUAAGCCCAAGACGUGAACUUAGAUUAAAUUGAAAAAAAUUAAUUAAAGUUAGAAGCUUCAUGAAAUUCGAAUUCUGAAUCUUUUGUUCUAAUAUCAUAUUAAAUUUAUAUUAAUAUUUAUAUUCACUUUAUUUGUAAUGACACUUUCGACCUCUUUGGUAUGCUUGAGUUUCCAUAAAAGCAUUAUUUUAAUUUUCCGGUUUUUAAGAAAGAAAAACUGAAGUAUACUUUUGGUCAUCAAACUAUUAUUAGGUGGGUAAAACUAUAGUUCUGAAAUUUUAAUUCGUUAUAAUUUUAUAGUAAGAACUUUUUAAAUAGUUAUAAUUAAUUCACACAGUCUAAUUUAGUUAAUUGGAGAUUGAUAUAUCCUUGAUGUGGUAUGUUAUUCAUUGCCAUAUCAUUGCCGCAUUUGCGUCACCAUAAAAUUAAUUACGAUUACGUAGAAAGUUUGAGCAAAAAUCAUAUCAAAUUAAAGUUUGGAAACCAAAGCAUCUUAGUUUGUAUAAUUUCGCAAAGAAAGUAAUAAAUUGAAUCUUCUAUUUAUAGCUUCCAUGACAAGAGUUUAGAAACAUUAAUUUUAUGUAAUAAAAAAGAUUCUACUUAUGGCUCUUCACAUUAAUUAAACAGCUCUUUUUUAAACAACAUUUCUUUAUAGCAUAUGGCUUAGCAAACUUUAACAUGAAGCAAUUCAAUUUGGAUUAUUUAACUUGUAUAUUCAAAAUUACUGAUAAUUUCUGCAUGAAAUAGUUUUUAAGGAAAACUACUAUCUUCAUCAAAUUAUCCAAAUCGAAAGCAUGCAAAUAAAUCAUGAUAACUCGAAUUGGAUCACGAAAUCAAACUCUAUGUAGUGUCCCUGGUGUUCUGCAGCCCGUUUAAUUUCAGCAUCUGAGGCUUGUCGACACGUCUGGCGAGUGUCGAAAUAAAUCGGAGUCGUUUUGGCACGAAAUGGACGCAAAACGGACUCAAUGCGACGUGAGAGUGGAACUCUGACACCGAAAUCUGUAAAAUAUAGGAUUUCAGUGUUGAGUACCAGUACCUGAGAGGAGUACCGGUAACUAAGUGGAUGGCAAAGAUAGAAGCUCUCGGGUUUGUGCGUAUUUGAUGCUGAGUACCAAUACCUGGUUGUCGAGUACCGGUACCGAGUUCGAGUACCGGUACAGCAUCGGGCGAGUACCGGUACCAAGUGUGCGAGGCUGCGGGCUGAGGGGCCGGGUACCGGUAUUGGAGUUGGGUACCGGUACCCCAGCUAGAUUUUUGAGUUGGUAAGGGGUAGUUUGGUCUUUUGAAGUGAUGUUCACCCCAAUGUUUAUCCUCAGCUUUUAUAUACUUGUAGAGAGCUCUGAAGGAAAGUUUUUGUUGCUGCUCUCUCUCUCUCUAGUUUUGGACGUUGCUCGUGGUGAAGGUCGCGGCUCAAGCUCGGAUAGAUUUCAACGUUGCUCCGGAGGGCAGUUCGAGCGCGUGGACGUCACAGUUACGCCGUUGGAGGCCGGGCGAGCGCGUGGAUUCCCUUCUUUCGACUUCUCACCGUGGUUGGACGAGCUUUUCGAGAUAGGUUGAUGUUUAUCGAAAUUGUCGGAUUUCCUCCUAAGUCUUAACAUCGUCAACAUGUUUCAUUGGUUUUAUUUCUUUUGCUAGUACUCAAAUUCAUGAAAUUUGUAUGUUAGAGUAUAAAAUCUGAAUUUGGAAUUAAGUUAGUGAUGGUAUACAUGUUAAACUUGAAAAUUGACUUAGGAGAAAACUAUUAAACCCUACACUGUCAUUUUUUGAAAAUUAUCAGUUUUAGCUUUAGCAUUUGUGGUUCUUUUGUAUUGCUGCUGUUAGUAUGCGGUGGAUACCUAGAUUAGUGUAGGUUAAGGUUAUGCUCGUGCUGGGAUGCCGAGUUCUUUUUACAAUAAUGUGUAGACUGUUUCGUACUGUCAGGUACUGUUGCGGUUGAUGGUUAAUCCAGAUUUCUGUAUCUUGCAUCAGAUUGUGCCAAGGGCACGUGAGUUUUGGUUGUUAGACCAGUUAGACCUAUUUGCAUUGACUAUAGCCUGUGAGAGCCUGAUUGAGCUCGACAGAGACACGCUUGCAUACUCGGUUGGGUCGCGCCCACGAGUGCCGCUCCUUAAUCUGGCUUCCUUGCUUUGCGUUGGUGUCGUAAUAGUCUGGUUUAGACAUUGCUCUUCGCCGGCCGCCCUCGAGACGGUGUACGGUGUAGUUUAGACAGGCGGGACGGGUGUAUCACAGUCCCUAGUGAGAUUGGGUCAAUGAGAUGCAUAUUUAUAUCUACAGAUAGCCUAUAGUGGUUAGCGAUAGUAGAGUGGCAUGUAGCUAUAGAUUUCUUUCCAGCUUUCCUUACUAUCCUUUGCACAUAUUUCUGUAGACUUAGUGGGUGAGCCGUUGAUGUCGGUGGCGAUACCCACUGAACACUACUCUGUUUUGCAGUAGUUCUAACACCCAGUUGUUGCCCCUCUUUGCAGAGCCUUCGUCUGUGGCCGCUGCCAUCACUGAUUCGGAUCGUGGAAAAGGAGUCGCGAGCUAGAUCUCUACUAGUCGUGGUGCUGUGCUAGAGGAGUACCUUCCACAAGUAAUUUUUGGGACUUUCUUGUACAUAUAGUUAUGCUGUCGGGGUACUCGCUGAAGCGAGUUUAUGUUGUGGAUAUUUUGUAUGUACAGGAACCUCUUGAGGUUAUGUUUAUUUUUUUUCCGUUUAGCAGUUCUAUAUUACUGGUUGUAUUUAUGUUGUGAUUACAAGUACAUCUAUCGCUUCGUAUACACGAAAAAUUCUUAUGUAUACGGCGGGUCUGUUGGCGUGCCCAGAAAAACAUGGUAAUCUGGGUCGUGGCACCCUAAAACUUAAAAAUAUUGAGUCAAGAAUUUACAUUUUAAUCAAAAAAUAGCAUUGCUAACCGUUUCAUUCAACGGGUGAAUAAAUUCAGCAAUAUAGUUGAGGCAACGGGCUUUGAAAAUUAUAAAAAGUAAAAGAGUCUCAUGACUUGGUCUUUUUUUUUUUUUUCGUUCGAAGGUCUAAACUUAGGGGUGAAAGUAGUUAGGAUAAACUCCAAUUGAAUCCGACACCGGAUAUAACGAAUCGUAUUUCGAAACGAAAGCCCCCCUCAGUUAAUUAUUUCGAAAUGUUUCAUCGUCUAGCCACAAUCAAGGACAAAGAGUAUCAUCAAGAUUUUGGGCCUAAAAAGAUGAGAUGAAUUACGUAUUACGAAAUACAUGUUCGGAUAUAUUUGAUGAAUCCCUACUUAUUAGAUUAUCCAUUUUUCUAGUACAAAUUUUCUAGUAGAAAAGAAUGGAGUUGGGAUCCAUACGCAUACGAAAUACUUUUGGUAUACAGAUGGUAUACAAAAUUUUCUUCUUUUCUUAAUUAUAGUAUAGUUUAUUAUAGUUAUUCCAUAUACGCCCUCCUGCUUUUUUGUUUUAUUCUAUGGGACUCGUGAUAACAAAGAAUAGGGAGUUAUAGAGAUGGGGGGAGACGGAGGGACACGGAAACGGAAGGGAAGACAGAGGGAUGGGAGUUAUAUAAAAAGAGAUGGUAAACAAGCCAUCUAAAUAAGAAAAAAAAAUUCCAAAGUAAUGACGUUGCGCCACGCCAACAAAAUUAUUGAAAAAUUAUAUAUUGUUUAUAGAUUUAAUAAUUAAAACUUUAUAGGAAUAUAAAUAUAAUUUUAAAUCGUUAUAGGAAUGCAUAUAAAAUUAUUCUUUUAGUCUAAAAUGGGUAUUAUUAUUGAAAUAAAUGAUGAUACAAAGAUUAUAGUAUCCAGGGAAUUCAUGGAUAAGGUGGAUUUGUUCUGGGCAAUAAUUUUCCUUAUUGGAGACAUUGGGGGGGACAAAUCCUGGCACUCUUUUAGUGCUCAAUCUAGAAUUCUUAAGGCUGUACUUGGCUAUCCUACAAUUUAUACAGUAAAUUUUAAGUUUCAUCUUAAAUCUAGCUGGUUUGCAGGUCAAUUUGAAUAUAAAUCGUUCAACAUAUAGGCGUGUUUGGUUCGAAGUCGGAGUCGGAAUCGGAAUCGGAAUCGGAAUCAGAAUCGGAAUCAAAAUAAGCUGGAAUCGGAAUCGAAAUGACUCAUUACCUAAUUUUGUUUGGUUCAUCACCUGAAUCGGAAUCGGAAUAAAUUAUUCCCAUUAUCGAUGUUUGGUUUAAGUGGAUAUAAAAAACGUAAUCAAAUUAAUAUACUAACAUUAUCUUUAUAAUAUAUUAAUUUAAAUUCAAAUUAAAUAUUAAAUAUUAAAAAUUUACAUCAAAAUUUUGAAAUAAUGUCAAAAUUUUAAAUCUAUUUUUUUUUAAAAAAAAAUUAAACUUUGAAGUUGAGUGAAUAAUUCAAAAUAUGAAACUAAAUUUUGAUUUAUUCAAAUUCAAACUUAAAAUUCAAUUUAAAUUUUAAUUUGAAUCCAUAAAUUUAAUUUAAGUUGAAAUAAAAUUUGAAUAAAAUUUAUUAUAAAUUAAAUAUUUAAUUUAAAUUCAAACUCAUAAGUUAGAUUCGAAAUCUUGAUUAAAUUUUAAUUUUUAAUUUAACUUCAAAUUAAAAUUUAAAAUUAUAUAUUUAUUUUUUAAAUUUUAACUCAUAUUUUAAUUAAAAAAGUUGAAAAAAUAAAUUUAAUCGAAAUAAAUAUCCAUUCUGUCCGGAUUCAACUUCCAAUCCGGCCUUCUAGGCCGGAUUGAAUAAAUAGUGAUUGGGGAUUCCAUUCCACUAGGGAAUCGGAAUCGGAAUGGGACUCCCGCGUAUAAACACCCACAAACGGAUUCACCCAUUCCGAUUCCAAUUCCAGGGUGAAAAAGAAGCGAACCAAACACGCUCAUUAGAUUAAAAUGGAUCAGAGUUCAUCUGGGGGUGCUACUAAUAGCACCAAACACUUAGGGCUUGUUUGGUUUAAGGGUGGAAUUGGAAUGAAAUAAUGGAAUGGGAAUGAAUGAAAUGGUAAUUGGAAUGGCCCACUCUUCCAAGACGUUUGGUUUAUUUGUGCAUUGGGAAUUGAAAUGAGCUAUUCACAUUUUAUUGUUUGGUUCGUAUAAACUAAAAAAUUAUAGAAUACUAUACAUACUAAUUUUACUCUCAAAUAUAAAUUUUAUUAUUAUUUGAAAUUUAUGAAAAAUAUAAUACUAUUCCUAAUAAGUUUUCAAAAAAAUAUCAAUUAUUUUAAAAAUUUUUUAUUGAUGUGGUUAGGAAUUACGUUUUUGAGAAAGAUAGAUUUUUUUUUUUUGAUGAGAAAGGGGUGAAGAGAAGGAGGGUGAGAUGGUCACAUGGGCUUCGAGAUCUUAGUGGGCUUCCGGAAUGAAAUCUUAAUCCGGACUAGAAGACCGGAAUCAAGUUGAAGGCUAAUGGGCCAUUCCCAUUCUAGUCCGGAAUAGGAAUCCCAAACCGAUUUAUGCGAAUCAAACAAAAUUAACCAGAUUUGAUCAAACCGAUUUUCAUUCCAUACCCAAAAUGGAUGAACCAAACAAACCCUUAUUGUUAUCAAGUUUUCCACUGUUAGAUUUAUUCUUUUGAUCAUUUUUAUCUAUUUGAUCAUAUUAUUCGACCAACCACCUACCUAACUCUAAAAGGUCGCUAUCAUCCUAACCACAUAUUUUUUUUUUUUUUCUAAGGACCGAAAACUGAAUAGCACCAAUGACAUGAUGCCAUUAGAAACAUUUCAGCCUAAUUCAGAGGAUCGAUCCAUUUAUAAUCCAAAUCUAAUUAAGCUAGAUACAAACUUAGUAAUUUCACGUCGAAUCAUGGACCUUGUCAAGAAUUACUAUCUCUAUGGAAAAAUCAUAGCCUCUGUCUAGAAUUCUGAAGAGUGAAUUCUGCUGGCCGUUCCAUAAUUUCUGAAUGAGAAGAAAUGUGGGAAUAAUUUGUGAAUGAGAAGAAAUCGGGGAAUAAUUUUCUGCACCUACUGCGUUCUUAAAACCUUGCAAUACUCAUAUGUUCUGUGUCCCUCCCUAUAUUAGUUAAUUCGCAAAUUAUUCACAAAUUUUUGAAGAAACGAAUUAAACGGCCGAAUUCGUAUUUUUCCGAAAAAUUCGAAAAAAAACACGUUUUUUGGUCAAAAAUACUUAUUCACGAAUAAUUCGCGAUGGCCGAAUUAUUCGGCUAAAAAUUCAGCUCGCCGCUCGCCGCUCACUGCUCGCGCCCGCUUUUGCGCUCCCCACGUGCCCGCGCACGCGCCCGCGCUCGCGGGCAGCUCGCCGCCCGGCUCACCCAAAACAGAAAACAAAAAAAAAAAAAAAAAAAAAAAAAAAAAAAAAAAUCUCUUAUGGACUAUCUUAAUCUCUUAUUUGCUUAUUUAUUUAUUUAUUUUAAGUCAUAAUAUAGUUUGCUUUUUUUUUACUUAAUUAAUUUAAUUUUGUAGCUCUUUAUUCUUAUGUUCUUAAGAAAUAUGAGUAGUUAUGCUAAUAGCAUAAAUUUUGAGAAAAAAAAAAUUUAAUUUAAUAGGCGAAUUUUUUAUCCCGAAUUUUUAAUUGGUGAACGUAAAAUAUCCAUAUAAAUCAUGUAUCCGAAUAAUUGGCGAAUCUGUUUUUUAGCCGUAUUUUUCAACGAAUUUAAAAAUUAGAAGACGAAUUUUAUUCGAAUUAUUUCCGUACCGAAUUUUUGCCAAAUCCGAAUUAACUAACUGUGGUCCAUCCUACCAAAAUACUCAUA
rnacentral:lncRNA from 1 species